rnacentral:lncRNA from 1 species
UUUUGUUUUUUUUUUUUUUGUAAUAAUAAUCGAACUUGACACAAAGAGAGACACGACCAGAUUUGCAAAAUAAAAUUGACUAGAAAGCUUACGAACAAACUCAACGGGAUAUACUUGAUGUCGUCGACUAGCUCUGGAUACCAACUGAUUCGAGACGGAUCUAGACGAACACCAAGUUGGGAUGAUUUGCGGAACUUUGACCCUUCUAGAAUCACAAGCCACGAACUAAGGAGAAUCCUUAACCCAAGACUAGCAAAUUUAGUGAACCAAAAGUAUAGAUAGUAGAACGCCACAAUCAAGGAGACUACUUGAUUGAUAAGUUCAAUGAACAGCUUGAGAUUGAUUCUCAAGUAUUCAAAGGAAAUUCUCUUGAGGCAAGAGAGAGUGAAAUAACUCACAUAUAUUUUAUAAAAUCUGAAUUAUUCUUUAACGAAUGAAAACCUAGGCUAUAUAUAGCCUUACAACUUGAAAACCUAAAGUGACUUGAAAACCCUAACUCGGCUAGGCUAGGCCUUUGGCCCGAUUCCACUACUCAAAUCCACUAUCUAAUGGUCAGCUUAUAAUCGAUCCAAUGAAAGUUUUAAGCUGGCCCAACAUAACCCAAUAAAAGCUAAUUAACCAACUUAAGUUAUAGUGAGCCUAGACUCUAUAAAUCGGAUCCAACUCAACAUGAGGUCUUGGACCGAAUUUAUUCCUAGCAAAUAAAAUAGAAAUCUAGAAAAUAAACUACUAACUAUUACUAAAAGAUUCAAUCUCUUGCAGCCCAAAACAUGACCCAUAAGCGGCCCAUAUUUCGUAUCACUGUCCACAUUAGUAGCAUUUGUCUAAUUGUUUCUUGUUGAAUUCUUGUUUUCCUUUGUUCCUUGCGUUUGAAGACUGAUUCUGGAAUUGAUUGCUAGGUCCUCCCCUUCUAAACUUUCUUUUAUUCAAGAUUCUCUUGAAGUUUUUUGUGAUGAGAGCAAGAUCGUUGUCAUCACCAUCCGAGUCUUCAUCAUUCAACUGAGCUGGAUCAUCUUCACCUUGAGCUGCCUUUAGAGCUAUGUUUCUCUUUGCUCUCGCGUGCUCUUCCUCCUGCACUUUAGUUUUCAAUUUCAACUCAUAAGAGGUUAGUGAGUUAAUGAGAGAUUCAAUAGGCACAGAAUUCAAAUCCUUAGCCUCCUCUAUUGCAGUCACUUUACUUUUCCAUUCUUUGCCCAACGCAUUGAGAAUUUUCCUGUUUUCUCUCCCAAGGUGUACUCUUUGCCCAACACCUCGAGAUUUUUGAUCAAGUCAUUGAACCUGCAAUACAUUUUGUCAAUAUCCUCAAGGGGUUGUAUUUUAAAUGAUUCAUACUUUGUGACCAAGAUACACUUUUUCUGUUCUCUCACGUUGUCACUACCCUCAUGAAUUUCUCUUAGCUUAUCCCAUAUUUCUUUGGCAGAUUUACAUCCUUUUAUUCUAAUUGAUUCAUUUGAAUCUAAGGCACUAUAAAGAACAUUCAUGGCUUUGGCAUUCAAUGUGAGAUUGGUUCUAUCUUGAGCAUUCAACUCAGCUCUUGUUUUUUGCCGAAACAAACCUGUAUCUGCAUCAAGAACGUUAGCAUCAUGCGGUCCUUCAUUCACAAUAAAUUAUAACUCAAUAUCAAUGGAUUACAAAAAAAUAAUCAUUCUUUCUUUCUUUACAAAAAGAUAAUUGGAACCAGUAAACAUGGGAGGCCUAGUGACAGAUUGCCCCUCAACAAACAUGGCAUGAUUGGUUGUCAUCUUUACUCCAAGCCGCUUGAGCUUAAUCUCUAGGAGACCAAACUCUGAUACCAAUUGUAAGGCCCAAAGACAACCUAAGAGGGGGAUGAAUUAGGUUGAUUAAAAAUACUUUAUUGAGUUUAUGCACUUUUUCUUUAAUAAAAAUUUAUCUUCUUUUCUAGUAGUGAUCAGCCAAGUAAAUUUAAAGAAGAGAGCAAUGUUGAUCAGAAAUAAGAGUGUAUAUAAGCAAUGAGAAUUUUAUUAAACAAAAAGGAAUAAAAUAGAGUAUCAAACCGAUGUCUACCAAGCUUUCCUCAAACUUGAAAACCAAUCACAAAGAUGAGCACCUUCUCUUUGAUGAAAGAUAAUCAACUCAAUGUACAAUGGAGGGAUCACUUCCUCCUUACCCCAAGCCUCACUUAGUCAAAUUAGGAAUUUUUACUAUCACUCAGAUAACUCUCAACAAAGCUACACUAUUGAAAAAUUCAAACACAAGAGAAGUGCUUACAAGAACUUCACACUACUUGGAGAACAAAUCUUGCUUAGGAGACUAUUUUCUAACUAAAAUAUCUCUUGACAUCUUGCAAACGAAGUGUGCAAAAGUCACUCCCUGGUUAAGAAUCAUUUGUAUUUAAAGGGGACAAAAAAUGGGCUUCAUUAAUGCUUCCAACGGAUAGAAGGCAGAUGAAGAGUCAGCUAGCCGUUGGGGCUGUCGGACGUCCGACAGCUUAAUCAACGUCCGAAAAUCAGCCAAGUUGUCGUUCGGACGUCCGAUAGGAUUUUAUCGUCCGACAGCUUCUGCGUCCGAACGUCGUCCAGAGAGUCAUCAAAACUUUGCGAAAUUUUUCGGAUGUCCAACGCGAUCGAUGUGCGUCCGAAGCGUGAGUCCGAUCCUCCCGGACGUCCGAUGCUUCCUCACGAGCGUCCGUCAGAGUUUCUUUCUUGAUGUUCUUCAUCCUUUCGGACGUCCGACAGUUUCCUUUCGGACGUCCGACAUAAGUGCCCUGUUUUUGCUUCUUCUUUUGGUUGAUUUUCUUCCCUUAACACCUUUGUACCUGAUUCUCUAAAAAGCAAAACACUUAUAUUUGAAGAGAAUUAGAUAAACAUUUCAAAGUGCUUUGUGAUAAUCAAAAUCAAGAAUAACACAAAACUAGACCAGAAUUUAUUUCAAGACUAACAAUUUUUCUUGACUCUAAGUUCAAUGAAAUCAUGAUACAAUAGUGAUAUAAUAAGCUGGAAACAAGAAUCACAUGCAACCCGCCACAACUGAUGUGGAUAGAAUCAAGAACACAAAACCCUAAUAUUUGGUUGUGACUAGAUAGAUACCUAGCGACUGGAAAUUUUCAAAAUUUUGCUGGGAUGUUUUACGACCAAAAGAAGAUGAAUUAACAACUAGAAUGAUGCUACAUUCUGGACAACAAUCAAAAGAAACUAGGGAUUAGAAGUUGUGGGCAGAUUGCUACAAAAACCAAAUAGAAACAACAAAUAAAUGCGAUGACACUAGAAACCCUAACGACUCUUCUACCCUUAUCCAUGGAUUGACAACAAAAUGAAGGAACAACACAAGAAUAAAAUCUCGAAAAAAAAAAUUUUAUUCAGAUGAACAGGAUGCUAUAGUAUGAUGAACAAUACCCAAAAUUUUUUUUCUUUGACGACUUUACAUAGGAUUAUGGCUUCACUUGGAAGAAAUUUAAUAGGAGUUAAAUUCUUGAAAAACCUGUUUCUAAGAAUGUAAUCACACCAAGAAGUUCUAAUCUUGAUAAUCAUGAAGGUAGGUUAGACUCCAAUGAUAAAAUCAAGAAAACAAGAAUAAAAAUUUUUUUGUUUCUUUUAAAUCAAAAGACGGCUAGGGUUUUGGUAGGAAAACAAAUUAAGAAACAAGAAAAGAAAAAAAGAUAUUAACCUGAAUCAAGAGCCGAAACUCUGAUGCCAACUGAUGCGAACUUGACCUAACAUGAACCUGUUUUGAAGAACCAAGUUGAUCAGACAGCGAAAGGGUUUAUUUUGACUAGGCUAUUGAACAAUAACUACCUUGUUAGAUCUAAUGAGAACUCGUCUCUAGAAACCUAGUGGAUUGGUUAUUGGCUUGAAAAAACAAGAUGAUGUAAUCAUCUUGCCUUGAACACUACAAGUAUCCAAGCUAAAUACUUGAUACACUUUAAGAAAAAACUCAUGUUCCAUUAAGAAACUUCAUAAAAGGAGACUGUUCACUUUUAUUAAUUCAGUUUGUGUCUUUCUUGAUUGCAAAAAAAAUGUUGCAAGGGCUAUAUUUAUAGCCUUAGAAGACAUAAAACCUAAUCAAAUAUGGAAACAAAUUACUGUAAGGAUCGAAAACAACCUAAGAGGAGGGGGUGAAUUAGGUGGUUUAAAAACUGGCCUAGAUAUGAGUCACUUUUUGAAAUGUUGCCCUCUUUUUUUGAAGGACCACACAAUGGAGCAAUUGAUGAUUAAGCACAAGUGCUUGGAAGUAGAAGAGAUAGACAAUUUAUAUUACAAGAUAGUAAGUAAAAAGAUAGAAUAGCAAACCAAAUUUCAAGCUCCACUUGAGUUUGAAUACCACUUUAUAUAGCAAGCUUCUUCAAGUUGAUCAACUUACAACCAAUCUCUUGUGUAUAAAGGAAGGAUAACUUCCUCCUCGCCCCAAGCCACACUUGGUCAAGCAAGGAAGUUUUACUAUCACUCGGAUAACCCUCACAAAACUACACUAUUGAAGAAAUAGAAACACACUUCAAAAGCUUAUUGAAAGUUUCACAAUUAAGAGUACAAAUCUUCUUUAAAGAGUAUUCUCACACUUGAAUCACUCAAGAUCUGAUGAAUCACUCACAUAUAGAUUUCAUAUCCAUAUGCCUCCCCAUUUUUGUCAUCAUUGAAUCAACCUGUAAAAUUAUCCAUAUUACCAAUACAUUGGCUCACCAAUAUUGUCACCAGGAAUUAGCAGUAACACACAUCCAAGCUGAAUUUAGCAAAACUAAUAUUGGUAGAACACAGCAACACCAUCCAUUCAGAACCAAAACCAAAACAUUAUCAACCAGAAAUUAAUAUUUGCGGAUAAAUUGAAAUAAGCAACAUUCAACAUAAAGGAUAACUAAAUAGUUUUACAUACCAGUAGAGGAGUAAAAUCCUUAAGACAGAGCACAACAAAUGUUUUUAAGUGCAAAAGAUGCAAAAACCUAAUAUGAACUAUUAUCCUAAUCAUGAAGUGCAGUAGCCUAGUAGUGCCUAUAUGGUGAUUUUACAGGAUCCAGGCCUUCUUCUCGUCAGGCAAAACUGGGCAGGGUCUUCUUCAUUAGUGUCCUCAUCCUCAUCCUCAUCAUCCUUUUCAGUCUCUUCUUCAGUUGCCGGAGUUUUUCCCUUGUCCUGUGGUUGAGAACUGGAGGCACGGUACUCUGGGUAACCUCAGUGGUUGGCUCAGUCCUAGGUUUCUUUCGGUGUGAAUUUUUAUUUUCUGGAGGAAUGGGAGAUACAAGCAGAUUCCUUUUUGCAACGAAGGUGGCUUGUUGAUCAGAAGUCAUGGUCAUCAUCAAGCCAUCUUCAAGAAGCAAAAUAUGUUGUUUGAGGUCAUCAAGUAGAGAGAUGACCUCAAGGUUGGAUGAAGUAUGCAUAGAGACUGACCUUCUAGGAUAAAUGGUGAAAGGUGUCACAUAUAUAGACUGGUCUCGAGAAGUUCUAGGGGUUACAGGAGUUUCAUGAAGAUUUUUUCUCCUAGACUCAAAGACAGUUUCUUUGUAGCACCAAUGACCCUCAAAAAAUUUCAGAUUUUUCCUUUCAAAAUAAGCCUUUGAAAACACAGUUGAUGUAGUCUCUUUUGGAGAUUUGCCAGUAAAGAAAAUUUCAAAAUGAGUAAAAAUUAGAGGCAGAAAUUUUUCAUAAGACUGUUUCCUACGGCUGUCAGUGUUGAUUUUGAGCAGAAAUUUGCACAUGAUAAAACCAAAAUCAAUUCAGAUUUUUUCAAGAAAACAGUAGAACAGAUAAAGUUCCAUUUUAUUUUCAUCAGUUCUGUGACCAUCAGUGGACACCAAUAGAUUUGAAAUUAUAGUAAAAAUGAUCAGGUUUUGAGGAUUAAGAUCUUUCAAUCUUGCCUCAGCAGGAGUAUUAAAGUGAGACUGAAAAUAGGUCAUUAAUUUUGCAACAUGAAAGUGAUGGUAUGCAGAGAAAAAUUCUUCGUAAGAAAAGAAAUUUACAAUUUUACCUUUAAAACCAUCUUCAAUUUUGGUUUCCAAAACAGAGUUGACAAUAUCAGGAUUCAGUUCUAUGUUAACAGAAUUGAUACGUGAAAUGAGAUCAGUAUGUGAUUUACCCUUUCUAAGGUUUGCAAAGAAUUGAUGAAGUAUGUCAGGAUAGUAGGUGUUUGGAAUGGUCAAAAGAUGGGUCUAUUUUUGGAAUUCAAAAAGGUUGAUAACAGAUUCAAGGUCAAGCUUACGAAAUUCGUAAGGAAUGAUGGUCCUUUGAGUGAUGAAGCCUUUCUGCGAGAUCCAUUCAAAUCUCUCCCUGGCUUCAUCAUCGAUGAACUUGGGCAGGGGAGUUGGUUCAACAGCAGUUUGGGUCCCUAGUUGUUCAUUUUUUGGAUGCAUUCUUUUUCCACUGUGUUGUGUAGUUGGUGCAGUACCCUGGACACCAGACCUUGUCCUUGGUGACUUCCUAGUAGAUGGUUCAUCAAUCUGCUGUUCCUCAGCAUUUUUCUCUGCAUCCUGCUGUUUCCCAGAUGGAUCAGCAAUUUGCCUUUCCUUGGGUUGAGCAAUACUCUUCCUUUUGGCAGUCCUUUUUCCUUUCCUGGGUAAUUUCAUGGUGGUAACAUCUACAUUGGUAGGAUGCUCCAGUUCCUUUUCAUUGCCACUUACUAGAUGCCCUUCAGAUUGAAGCUCCUCCAUUUGCUCAUCAGAUGGUUCAACCGAUAGCUCUCUGGUUUGCGCAUUCUAAUUUUUCUUUGUAGAUUGCCUCGUUUUUUCACCACGAUUUCCAUUUUUCUUUUUGGGUGAUUUGAUGGAUGGUUCGAUAGCUUGAACAUCUUCAUCCUCCUCAUCACGAAGCUUGAAGGUGCAUCCGGCACUCACGGAUCCUCUUCUAAUCCUCACCAUGAUUGCAAUGCAGUGUGGUUUUGUUGUGUAAUUUAUACAAAUAAGUAUCAAAUGAUAAGGAGUGCAGUAUGAACUAUAGUGAAUGCAUGAACUGUCCACAGAGGGAGAAUUUUUAUGGUUAGGGUUUCGGGUAAGAAUUGGGAUUUAUAGUGCAGUUGGUAGUUAGGAAAAAUUAUGAUACAAAAUAAACUCGCAAUAGGUAUGUGAAGGUGUCGGUUAGGGUGAUUUCUUGGUACUUGUUCCGAAAAGAGAUGAAUUUGAAUUUUGAAGUUGAGGGAAUAUGAAGAGUUGCGUCCGAGACAAAAGGGUAGGAAUGAACUGAAUAACGCAGAAGGCUUCCUUAUAAGACGCAAUUUUUGAGUGUCGGACGGUCGAACGAAGUAGAGCGUCCGACACCACCGUCCAAACCAAAAUUUUCUGGGUAGAUGAUCAAGAACACUGUCGGACGUCUGUUCUAACACAUCGGAUGUCCGACAAAGAGUGACCAGAGAAUUUUUUAGAGAAUUUUUUCUGAAACGCCCAAUUUUGUUCUCAAAAACACAAAUUGAUCCAGUGGUAAGGCUUUUGUGAAAAUAUCAGCAAUUUGAUCUUUUGAAGAGACAUAUUGAACACAAAUUUCACCGUUAUGGACAAGAUCGCGAAUGAAAUGAGGCUUUAUGUCUAUGUGCUUUGUUCUAGAAUAUUGGAUGGAAUUUUUUGUCAAAUUUAUUGCACUAGUGUUAUCACAAUACAUAGGCACACAAUCAUACAUCAAUUCAAAAUCAUUCAAUGUAUUUCUCAUCCACAAUAAUUGAGCACAACAAGCUCUAGCGGCAACAUAUUCAACUUCAGUUGUAGAUAAUGAAAUAGCAUUUUGUUUCUUACUAAACCAGGAUACUAAGUAAUUUCCAAGAAAGUUACAUAUAUCUGUUGUACUUUUUCUAUCAACCCUACAACCGCCGAAGUCAGCAUUAAAGAAUCCACGCAAAGGAAGUUCAUGACACUUAGGAUACCAUAGACCAAAAUUCAAGGUUCCUUUUAGAUAUCUAAGUAUAAGGCCCAAAGACAACCUAAGAGGGGGGGUGAAUUAGGUUGAUUAAAAACUUAAUCAAAUUUAUGCAAUUUUUCUUUAAUAAAAAUUUACCUUCUUUUCUAGUAAUAAUCAACCAAGUAGAUUAGAAGAAGAGAGCAAUGUUGAUUAGAAAAACAAGUAUAGAUAAGCAAUGAGAAUUUUAUUAAACAAAAAAUAAGAUAGAAUAUCAAACCGACUGUCUACCAAGCUUUCCUCAAACUUGAAGACCAAUCACUAGGUUGAGCAACUUCUCUUUGAUGAAAGAUGAUCAACUAGAUGUACAAUGGAGGGAGCACUUCCUCCUUGCCCUAAGCCUCACUUAGUCAAGCUAAGAAGUUUUACAAACACUCAGAUAACCCUCAACAAAGCUACACUAAUGAAACUUUCAACCACAAGAGAAAUGCUCACAAGAAAUUCACACCACUUGAAGAACAAAUCUAGCUUUGGAGACUAUUUUCUAGCUAAAAUAUCUCUUGAAAUCUUGUAAACAAAGUGUGGAAAAGUCCCUCUCUGAUUCAGAAUCAUUUGUAUUUAAAGGUAACCAAGAAUGGGCUUCAUUAAUGCUUCCAACGGAUAGAAGGCAGAUGAAGAGUCAGCUAGCCGUUGGGGCUGUCGGACGUCCGACAGAUUAGUCAUCGUCCGAUCCCAUCGUCCGAAAAACAGUCAAGUUGUUGUUCGGACGUCCGAUGGGAUUUUAUCGUCCGAGCUUCUGUGUCCGAACGUCGUCCAGAGAGUUAUCAAAGCUUCGUGGAAUUUUUAGGACGUCCGACACAUUCGAUGUGCGUCCGAGGAGUACGUCCGAUGCUUCCUCACGAGCGUCCGACAGAAUCUUGGCAGAGAGUCAUCAACACUUUGUGGAAUUUUUAGGACGUCCGACACGUUCGAUGUGCGUCCGAGGAGUACGUCCGAUCCAUCCGGACGUCCGAUGCUUCCUCACGAGCGUCCGACAGAAUCUUCUUCUUAAUGUUCUUCAUUCUUUCGGACGUCCGACAGAUUCCUUCGGACGUCCGACAUGAGUGUCCUGUUUUUGCUUCUUCUUUUGGUUGAUUUUCAUUUCUUGACAUAUUCGUACCUGAUUCUUUGAUAGGCAAAAAAUACUUGUAUUUGAAGAGAGUUAGAUAAACAUUUCAAAGUACUUUGUGAUCAUCAAAACCAAGAAUAACAUUCUCCCCCUUUUUGAUGAUGACAAAACAAUGGUUUGAAAUGAGAUUUGAUGAUUUGCAAUAUAAGCUCCCCCUUUCUCAAUUGACAACAACUCCCCCUUACUUAAUGGAUCAUAGAGCAAAAAUUUGAAAAACUUCCCCUCACUUGGCUACCCUACCGAAUUAAUCAAUUAUCCAAAAAUAUAACAAUUAAGCAGCCAACAUCCAACAUUCUGAUACCAAUUUUACCAACAUUUUACCAAUUCAAUCCAUCAAGCCAAUUCAAUUAAAUCAUCAAUCAAUCCAAUCCAGUUCUCUUCCCCUUUUUGUCAUCACAAAAGGCCAAUCAAUCACAUAUAUAACGGAGAACCAAUAACAAAAAAACAUUCAUCACAUCCACACAUUCAUCAUUCAAAAUACUUAAACAUCCAUCCAGAUAUCCAUAACCAUUACAGCCAUAAUCAUCCAUUAAAAAGUACUGAACGAACACAACAUAAACAUAAGUAUUACAUCUACAUAUUCAUUGUUGAACACCACAAGCACUAGAAAUACAUGAAAUAGUCAAAACAAGAUGCAAAUGACCCUAUGUGAUCCUAAAUGGUGAACUAGGUGGAUCCUGGUGUCCUUCGAGAAAGCUGAUAUUGGGAGAGGUCCUCCUCUUCAGUUUCUUCAUCAGCUUCAGCAGCUUCUUCAACAGGUGCCUUGCCUUUAUCUGAUGUGGAAGGGCCAUGAGGAGUCACUGGAGUUGAUGAGCUCGGGUCUGGAAUUGAUGAACUUGGAUCAGUGGGGCGAGGCUCUUUGUCAUGGGAAACUUCCUCAACUACAGGUGGGGGAAAAAGAAGGUUCUUUUUGUCUAGGUAGGCUGUUUGUUGCUCAGAGGACAUGGUGAGCAUUAGACCAUGUUCCAGAAGAAGAACAUGCUGUUUGAGUUCACGAAGGAGCUCAAUCACGUCAUCAUGGGAGGAGGAAGAUGCCUUAGUGGCAGACUUCCUGGGAUGAAUGGAAGUGAGUGCAACAGAUGAAAGAGUGUGUAGUGGAUCAUGUGCAGCCUUAGACCUAGGUUCACUAGAUGAUGCCCCCUUAUACGCCCAUAGAUUAUCCUUAAAGACAAGAUUUUUCCUUUCAAAAUAUCAUUUGGUAAAGGCAUAAGAAGAUGCUUCUUUGGGACAAACACCUAGAAUUGGUACUUUGUAAAACUCAAAAAUCUUUUGAAGAAAUUUUCCAUAAGAUAAUUUUCUUCGAAAAUCAGUUGCAUAGCGAAGUAAGAACUUGCACAGCGAAGUAAGAACUUGCACAUGACAAAACCAAAAUCAAUACGAAUCUUUUCUCGAAAACAGUAAAAGAGAUACAACUCCAUUUUGUUUGCAUCUGUUCUAUGGCCAUCAGUAGGCACAAGCAGGUUUGAAAUGAUUGAAAAGGCAAUUAAAUUCACAAGGGCAAGAUCAUUCAGUUUAGCUUCAGCAGGGGCAGAAAAACUUCUUUUAAAAUAAGUCGACAUCUUAGCCCCAUCAAAAUGAUUAUCAGCAGUAGGAUGUUCUUCAUAGGAAAAGAAAUUUGCAAUUUUACUCUUGCAUCCAGGUUCAAUAGUAGUUUUUAAAAUAUCAUUCACAAUUUCAGAAUCAAAGACUAAGUCUACCCCAUUAACCCUGGACAUAAUCUCAGUUUGAUCAGUGCAUUUCCUAAGAUUGGCAAAGAAUUGAAACAACAUUUCAGGAUAAUAGACAUUAGGCAUAGAAAUGAGAUGUGACCAUUUCUGGAAAGCAAACAGACUCAGAAUGGAUUCUAAACCUAUUUAGCGAAAUUCAGAAGGAUUUACGGUGCGUUGAGGGAUGACACCUUUUUGGGAUAUCCAGGAGUGUUUGUCUUUUGCAGCAUCAUCAAAGAAUGUAGGGACUGUGGUUGAUUUUGGAGGCGGUUGAGAUGAGGUUCCCUGUGCAGAUUCAGGCUGAGGGGUGGGUUGUGGUGUAGGCUGUGACAUUUGACCCUUUACAGCUCCCCUCUUGACGCGUUUGGAUGAUCGUUUGACCGUAGGAGUAUCAUCAUCCUCAUCCCUAAGUGGAUACUUGCGUCCAGCAGUGACCUUCCCUCCUCUUAGAUUCACCAUUGUGCGAAAUGUGUGGAAUGAAGGAUGCAAAUGAUGCACACAGUAGUAUGGAAGUGAAUCACACAGAAAUUUUGGGACAAAAAGGCCUUGAAGAAGAUUGGACAGAGCGGUUAUGAGAAAAUAGGGUUUUGAGGGAAAUUAGGGAAUUUAUGAAAUGUUAUGCGAUUCGGUGAAAUGAUCAGGAGAAACGAAUCGCAAUCGAUCAGGAAAAGUUUUAGUUGAGUCAAUUUGGGAAUGAGAGCUUCAGAAUGGUACGAGAGAGUUUUCGUCCGAGAGGAAAUAGAAGAAAAAGAGUUUGAAGCAAAUGAGGAAGAAAGUUACUUUAAAAAGUGAACCGUUGCACUGUCGGACGGCCGAACGAAAUCGUGUGUUCGACAGCUUCGUCCGAACAGGUGUUUUCUGGAAAAAAUAGCUGAAGAACAUUAUCGGACGUCCGUUCAUCUUCUUUCGGACGUCCGAAGGCUUUGAGAAAUUUUAAGAUGAUUUUUCGAUUAUCCCUAAUUUUGAUCUUAGAUGAAUGAACUGAUCUAAUGGCAAAGCUUUUGUAAAAAUAUCAGCAAAUUGAUCAUUAGAACAAACAUAAUUUACACAUACUUCACCUUUUUGAACAAGAUCGUGAAUAAAGUGGUGCUUUAUAUCUAUAUGCUUUGUCCUAGAAUGUUGAAUUGGAUUUUUGGUCAAAUUGAUAGCACUAGUAUUAUCACAGAAUAUAGGCAUGCAGUCAUACGAUAAUCCAAAGUCAUUCAAGGUAUGCUUCAUCCAUAAAAGUUGAGCACAACAUGCACUAGCGGCUAUAUAUUCCGCUUCGGUUGUAGACAUAGAGAUUGCAUUUUGUUUCUUGCUAAACCAAGAGACUAAGCAAUUACCAAGAAAGUGACAAGUUCCACUAGUACUCUUUCUAUCCACACGACAACCUCCAAAAUCAGCAUCCGAAUAUCCAUAUAGUGCAAACUCACUAGAUUUAGCAUACCGAAGACCAUAGUCUAAUGUACCUUUCAAAUACCUAAAAAUCCUUUUAACAGCAUUCAAAUGUGAUUUUUUUGGACAAGAUUGAAAUCUAGCACACAAGCAAACAGCAAACAUAAUAUCGGGUCUACUUGCGGUUAAAUAAAGUAAGCUUCCAAUCAUACCUCUAUAGUGCUUUUCAUCCACAUGUUUACCUUCUUCAUCUUUGUCAAGUUUUGUUGAAGUACACAUUGGAGUUCCAACUUGCUUUGAGUCCUCCAUGCCAAAUCUUUUCAGCAAUUCCUUAGUGUAUUUUGCUUGAUUUAUGAAACUGCCCUCAAUGGCUUGAUAUAUUUGAAGUCCAAGGAAGAAAUUUAAUUCUCCCAUCAUACUCAUUUCAAAUUCACUUUGCAUAAUGGUGGAAAAAUCCUUGCAUAGAUACUCAUUAGUAGUACCAAAAAUAAUAUCAUCUACAUAUAUUUGCACAAUAAGGAGUUAAUUUUGCACUUGCUUAGUAAACAGUGUGGUGUGCACAACUCCUCUUUUGAAAUUAUUUUCAAUCAAGAAACCACUCAAUCUUUCAUACCAACCUCUUGGAGCUUGUUUUAGCCCAUACAAUGCUUUUGAGAGUUUAAACACAUGAUUUGGAAAUUUUGAAUUUUCAAAACCGGGGGGUUGAUCCACAUAUACUUCUUGAUCAAUAAAACCGUUUAAGAAGGCAAUUUUAACAUCUAUUUGAAAUAGUUUAAAACCUUUGAAGCAAGCAAAAGCAAGAAGCAUUCUAAUUGAUUCUAAUCUAGCUACGGGAGCAAAUGUUUCAUCAAAAUCAAUACCUUCUUCUUAAGCAUACCCUUUUGCAACUAAUCUAGCUUUAUUUCUUACAACUACACCUUUAUCAUUCAGCUUAUUUCUAAAUACCCACUUAGUGCCAAUGAUAAGGUGAUUUUGAGGUCUAUCAACUAGUGUCCAAACCUCAUUUCUUUCAAAUUGAUUGAGUUCCUCUUGCAUUGCCAAAAUCCAGUUUUCAUCCUUUAAGGCAUCAAUGAUAUUUUUAGGUUCAAAAAGAGAAACUAAAGCAAAAUUGUCUAUCAAUUUCUUAGAUGAGGAGCAAGUGUUUACCUUCUCGGAUGGAUCACCAAUUAUAAGUUCUUUUGGAUGAUUUUGGCUAAAUUUCCAAGCCUUGGGAAGAUCUUUGAAUGAAUCAUCAUUUUUGUCCUCAUCUUCCCUUUCUUGAUCUUCAUGAGCUUCAUUCUCCAUUUCCUUUGCUUCCGGUUUAGAGUUUCCUCCAUCUCCAAUUUUUAGCUUUUCCAUUCCUUCACGAACACCUACAUCAUCAUCCUCACACGAACUUUUGGAAUUAUCAUCAUUAGUUUCAUCAAAUGUUAUGUGUAUGGCUUCUUCUAUCACAAGAGUCCUUCUAUUAAAGACUCUAUAUCCUCUUUUGUUCUCACAAUAUCCCAAAAAUAUUCCUUCAUCAGAUUUUUUCUCAAACUUACCAAGAUGUUCCUUUAAAUUUAAAAUAAAACAUUUACAACCAAAGACUUUGAAAUAUCCAACCGUAGGUUUCUUAUCAAAAAUCAGUUCAUAAGAUGUUUUAUUCAAAAUGGGUCUCAAAAGGAUUCUAUUCAUCACAUAACAUGCAGUGUUUACCGCUUCAGCCCAAAGGUAUUUUGGCAAACUACAUUCACUUAACAUAGUUCUAGCAGCCUCUUGUAGUGUCCUAUUUUUCCUUUCUACAACACCAUUUUGUUGUGGAGUUCUUGCAAUUGAAAACUCAUGUGUUAUGCCAUUAUGAUCACAAAAAUCUGGAAAACCACAAUACUUGAAUUUCGUUCCAUUAUCACUUCUAAUCCUAAUAAUUUUUAAACCAAGCAGAUUUUGCACUUUAGCAAACAAUGAAGUGAAAUUCUUGAAGGCAUCAUCUUUAUGAGCAAGAAAUAUCACCCAAGUAUAUCUAGAAUAAUCAUCCACAAUCACAAAGCAGUAUUUCUUACCUCCCAAGCUAGUGAUUUGAGUAGGACCAAAUAAGUCAAGAUGCAAGAGUUCUAAAGGUUUAGAAGUUGAUACACACUUCUUUGGUUUAAAAGUAACUUUUGUUUGCUUUCCAAAUUGACAUGCAUCACAAAUUUUAUCCUUUUCAAAACAGAUUUUUGGCAAGCCUCUAACCAGCUCCUUUUUCGAAAUUUCCUUUAGUAAAUCCAUGUUAAAAUGACAAAGUCUCCUAUGCCACAACCAAGGAUCUUCAUUUGAAACUUUAAGACAUUUGAAGCUAGAUGAAUCAAUUUUAUCAAGAACCACAAUAUAUAUGUCGUUAAACCUCUUACCUUUGAACACAACAUUGUAUUUGGAAUCAAGCACAAUGCAUUCAUGCUUUUUAAACAACACAUUCAAGUCUUUAUCACACAAUUGACUAACACUAAGCAAGUUAUAACCUAAGUUAUCAACUAAGAGCACAUUAUGAACAAAAGUUUCACCAUCUUUACCAACAUCACCUAUUCCAAUUGUCUUAGCUUUCACAUCAUCACCAAAUGUCACCUUUCCACUUGAUUUUGAUUUUAGCUUUAUGAACAAGGAGGGAUCACCGGUCAUAUGCCUUGAGCAGCCACUAUCAAUAAACCAUUUGGACUUGUUUGAGCCUUUUUCCUGAAAAGAGAAAGUGUUUGGUACCCUUUUUAAUUUUUGGGUCCACAAUAGUUAGCAUUGUGUCUAACUAACCACAUGCAUCUCAUCCCUUUGUUCAGAUUUCUUUUCACAUAGCAAUCUCCUUUCAAGUGCCCUUUUUGACAACAAAAACCACACAUAAUGGAAGAGUCCUUAACAUGUAAUGCUUUGACAUAUCUCAAACCACUUCUUCUAUAUGUUGUGAAACCAUGUGCAUUUUUGUUGUGUGCUAAUGUUCUUUGAUGAGCAGUAAGAAAGGUAGAUGACAUGUUCUUUUUGAGAAAAUCUUGCUUUCUUGCUUUCAAAGUCUCAUCCAAGUUGUCCAUUCUUUUCUUCAAAUCACCAUGUCUUUCCUUCGGCAUUUCACAAAUACUUGUCUUUCUAUCAAGCUCAUUUUGAACAUCAAAUCCGGCUCUUACAAGACAUUCAUUAUCAGUCUUUAGUUGUUUAUUUUGCUGAAGAAGACUUGCAUUUUCGUGAAUGAGAAAAGUAAUUUUCUGUUUUAGCUGCUUGUUUUUAUCAUAAGAUUCCUUCAAAGCAUUAUGCAGUUUUUCAACAAAUGAUUCAAGAUCAUCAUCUUCUUCAUCAUCACUUUCAGAUUGAGAGUGUAUGGAAGUUACCUCAUUAUCUCCAAUAGCCAUGAAGGCCAUUUGAGCUGAUUCUUCCUCUUCUUCAACUUCCCCUUUGGAGUUGCAUUCAUUCCAAGUAAUCUGGAAGUUGUUGAAUCUUGGCUUUCGAUCAGCUUUCCCAUCUUUCAUUUUCUUCAUGGGGCAUUCGUUUGCAUAGUGUCCAGGCUGUCCACAUUCAUAGCAUUUGUCCACUUGCUUCUUGUUGAAUUCUUGUUUUCCUUUGUUCCUUGCAUUUGAUGAAUAAUUUUGGAAUUGAUUGCUAGGUCCUCCCCUUCUAAACUUCCUUUUAUUCAAGAUUCUCUUGAAGCCCCUUGUGAUGAGAGCAAGAUCAUUAUCAUCACCAUCCGAGUCUUCAUCAUCCAAGUGAGUUGGAUCAUCUUCACCUUGAGUAGUCUUUAGAGCAAUGUUUCUCUUUGCUCUAGCAUCCUCUUCCUCCUGCACUUUAGAUUUCAACUUCAACUCAUAAGAGGUUAGUGAGUUAAUGAGAGAUUCAAUAGGCACAGAAUUUAGAUCCUUAGCCUCCUCUAUUGCAGUCACUUUAUUUUCCCAUUCUUUACCCAAUGCAUUGAGAAUUUUCCUGUUCUUCUCUCCCAAGGUGUACUCUUUGCCCAACACCUCGAGAUCUUUGAUCAAGUCAUUGAACCUGCAAUACAUUUUGUCAAUAUCCUCAAGAGGUUCAAUUUUAAAUGAUUCAUACUUUGUGACCAAGAUAGCCUUUUUCUGUUCUCUCACGUUGUCACCACCCUCAUGGAUUUCUCUCAGCUUAUCCCACAUUUCUUUGGCCGAUUUACAGCCUUUUACUCUAAUUGAUUCAUUUGAAUCUAAGGCACUAUAAAGAACAUUCAUGGCUUUGGCAUUCAAUGUGAUAUUAGUCCUAUCUUGAGCAUUCAUUUCAGCUCUUGUUUUUGGCCGAAGCAACCUUGUAUCUGCAUCAAGAAAGUUAGCUUCAUGCGGUCCUUCACUCACAAUAAACCAUAGCUCAAUAUCAAUAGAUUGCAAAAAGAUAAUCAUCCUUUCUUUCCAACUAACAUAAUUGGAGCCACUAAACAUGGGAGGCCUAGUAACAGAUUGCCCCUCAACAAACAUAGCAUGACUGGUUGUCAUCUUUUCUCCAAGCCGCUUGAGCUUAAUCUCUAGGAGACCAAGCUCUGAUACCAAUUGUAAGGCCCAAAGACAACCUAAGAGGGGGGGUGAAUUAGGUUGAUUAAAAUCUUAAUCAAAUUUAUGCAAUUUUUCUUUAAUAAAAAUUUACCUUCUUUUCUAGUAAUAAUCAACCAAGUAGAUUAGAAGAAGAGAGCAAUGUUGAUUAGAAAAAUAAGUAUAGAUAAGCAAUGAGAAUUUUAUUAAACAAAAAGAAAUAAGAUAGAAUAUCAAACCGAUUGUCUAUCAAACUUUCCUCAAACUUGAAGACCAAUCAUUAGGUUGAGCAACUUCUCUUUGAUGAAAGAUGAUCAACUAGAUGUACAAUGGAGGGAGCACUUCCUCCUUGCCCUAAGCCUCACUUAGUCAAGCUAAGAAGUUUUACAAACACUCAGAUAACCCUCAACAAAGCUACACUAAUGAAACUUUCAACCACAAGAGAAAUGCUCACAAGAAAUUCACACCACUUGAAGAACAAAUCUAGCUUUGGAGACUAUUUUCUAGCUAAAAUAUCUCUUGAGAUCUUGUAAACAAAGUGUGCAAAAGUCCCUCUCUGAUUCAGAAUCGUUUGUAUUUAAAGGUAACCAAGAAUGGGCUUCAUUAAUGCUUCCAACGGAUAGAAGGCAGAUGAAGAGUCAGCUAGCCGUUGGGGCUGUCGGACGUCCGACAGAUUAGUCAUCGUCCGAUCCCAUCGUCCGAAAAACAGUCAAGUUGUUGUUCGGACGUCCGAUGGAAUUUUAUCGUCCGAGCUUCUGUGUCCGAACGUCGUCCAGAGAGUUAUCAAAGCUUCGUGGAAUUUUUAGGACGUCCGACACAUUCGAUGUGCGUCCGAGGAGUACGUCCGAUCCAUCCGGACGUCCGAUGCUUCCUCACGAGCGUCCGACAGAAUCUUGGCAGAGAGUCAUCAACACUUUGUGGAAUUUUUAGGACGUCCGACACGUUCGAUGUGCGUCCGAGGAGUACGUCCGAUCCAUCCGGACGUCCGAUGCUUCCUCACGAGCGUCCGACAAAAUCUUCUUCUUAAUGUUCUUCAUUCUUUCGGACGUCCGACAGAUUCCUUCGGACGUCCGACAUGAGUGUCCUGUUUUUGCUUCUUCUUUUGGUUGAUUUUCAUUUCUUGACAUAUUCGUACCUGAUUCUUUGAUAGGCAAAAAACACUUGUAUUUGAAGAGAGUUAGAUAAACAUUUCAAAGUACUUUGUGAUCAUCAAAACCAAGAAUAACACUAAGAAUUUUUUUUAUUGCAUUUAAAUGAGAUUCCUUUGGACAAGACUGAAAACGAGCAUAUAAGUAUACAUCAAACACGAUAUCUGGUCUACUAGCAGUUAAGUAAAGCAAACUAUCAAUCAUACCUCUAUAUUUCUUUUCAUCAACUUUUGUACCUUCUUCAUCCUUGUCAAGCUUAGUAGAUGUGCACAUAGGUGUUCCGACCUGCUUUGAAUCCUCCAUUCCAAAUCUUUUGAGCAGCUCCUUGGUGUAUUUUGCUUGGUUGAUGAACGUUCCAUCUUGAGUUUGAACCACUUGGAGUCCAAGAAAAAAAUUUAAUUCUCCCAUCAUGCUCAUUUCAAAUUUUUUUUGCAUGAUAUUGGAAAAAUCCUUGCACAAUCUGUCAUUAGUAGCACUGAAUAUAAUAUCAUCUACAUAUAUUUACAUAAUUAAAAGAUCAUGUGAACUUUACUUAGUGAAAAGAGUAGUAUUCACAAUACCUCUUUUAAAACCAUUUUCAAUCAAAAAAUCACUCAAACGUUCAUACCAUGCGCUUGGAGCUUGUUUUAGUCCAUACAAAACUUUUGAGAAUUUAAAUACAUGAUUUGGAUAAAUUUCAUUUUCAAAACCAGGAGAUUGAUCAACAUAUACUUCUUGAUCAAUAAAUCUAUUUAAGAAGGCACUUUUAAAAUCCAUUUGAAAUAAUUUAAAAUUCUUGAAACAUGCAAAGGCCAAAAACAUUCUAAUUGAUUCUAUGUGACGACCCCACCUUCCCCUAAGGCGAACCAGAGGGUUUGGCGGGUCGCUUGCCCAGCUCUCGCCGGGACUCAGUCGUUCCUUAAUCAAAUUCGAAAUAAAACCACAAGAAUUCAUAUAGCAAACAUCGAAACUUAUAUACAUUGACAAACCCAAACGGAAGUGUAAAGAUUGAAUAUACAAAGGUUCUCAAUCCUUCAUACGUCCAGCCCGUGCCAAGCACAAGGCGAGAACCACUACAAAAGAAACAAAAGAAACAAAAGAACUAAACUGGCUAGUCUGUGCUCUCAUUCUGCUCGCCGUCCCCUGUUAAGGAAAACAAAACUAAAGGGGUGAGCUAAAAGCUCAGUGAGGUUCCGAACAGGUAAUCAAACAAACAAUUCAAUAUAUCGCACAUGGAGUAUCAAUAAUUCAAGAAACAUUUUCAAUGGAAAGCGAUAGUAACAUUCAUUAAAAGGAUACGGGCUCACAUGGAGCUAUUUGUUUGUUCGUUCUCUUGACAUUUCCCCUUAUUCCUCCAAUCGUUUCCAAUAUAUUUUUUUUUGUAAGUAGAAUCCCUCGUUCAUCUCUUUUUUUUUUCUUCCGGACGUUGGCCGGACUCCACCCAUCCGGACAUUGACCGGACUCCUCCCAUCCGGACGUAGCCGGACUACAAGGUAAUACUCGAGUAUACCAAAUUCACCCAGGGUCACCAUAUCGCCCGAUUCGAUCGGUAACGAAGGGCAGUGGCCAGUUCAGCCAAACGGCUUACAUUCAUGCACAACUAGCAUUUAAUUAUUAACCAUUGAAAAUUUCAUAUUUAUUUAGGUCGAGUGCGAUAAAGUACACACUCGCCUAGAAAACGCGUUUUAACAAUCAUUGAAAGCACGUAACACAUUAUCAAUUCAUAAUAACAGGCCAAUAAGUCAAGGGAUAUAGCAAACAAGGAACACUCACCUAGGCACGCAAAAUAAUGUGUAAAAUAUCCCUCCGGAUAACCCUCAGUCACUGAAAAAACCUAAGAUUGAACAAGAGAACACAUUAUAGUUUAUCGAGCAAAACAAAGAAACCCGACUCAUUAGGAGUAAAACGUGUAAAGAUGACUUCCAAGUAAGAAGAGGGUUGUUGGGAACCAAGGAUGAAAAACAUAUGGAAAAACAAAAAGACUCUUAAAAUCGUACUUGAAAGUAGUUCACUUGUGACCGAUAAAACCCUAACUCACACUUCUAUAUUUUGGGUACGGAGUAAGUAAACAUUUGGCGUUUUAAAUCGAAGAGGUAUCAUGUUUGGGAAUGAUAAAAUAGUCAUAAUAUUUGUCAAACGAAAAUAUACAAAUUCCAAUAAAAACUUAGUCCUUGAGUGAAAAUUUGGGCAGCACACCCUUUGUGUUUACCUAAUUUCCCAGCCAUUUUGGCUUCAUUAUUUUCUCAAAUCAGUCCCAACAUCUCAUACAAAAAUAAUCUCACUUCCAAAAGCCGUUCACUAGGCUUCAAGUCAUUCAAGUCAUUUAGCUAGGAAAUUAACCGGAAAGGAAAGUCAAGCCCUAAAAUAUGCAAGCAAGUACAAUGAGACUCGAUAACGAGUCGUAAACCAAUGCCAAAUAUGACCCCAAUAGGGUUCCAUAAACAUAUACAAUCAUUAGAGAAAACCAGAAAAUUCGGAAAUGCAAUUAGCUUUGGCCCUAAAAAAAACAGUUUUUGACUUCCUUUUUGCGGUAAUGGCACCAAAUGCCCUAUGAUUAUCGGACGAAGGUGUAAGACCCACCAUUUUGAAGCUAAAAGAUAGGGCUACAACAUCACAGAAGGUCACUCAAUCCAAAUCCUAGCACAACUAGGUCAAAAAUGCAAAAUACUAUACCAGAAUUCCCAAAACAGGUUUGCAAAUCACACAAAACUGUAAUUACUAUAACUCAGUCUAUACAAGUCCAAAUGCCGAAAUUCCAAAGGAAUAUGAUAGCUAAGACAUCCAGUAACAUUUCAUCAGAAGACACCAACUUCAAAAUCCAAACCAAAUCCAGUCAAAAUAGGCAAUUACUAUCGCAGUUCCGCACAUUCUGUUCACCAAAAACAGCAACAGUAAAAACGGAAUAACUCUCUCUAUACUACUCCAAAUUCCCUGAAAUUUUGUAGGCACUUCAUACUCACCAAUACCUACAACUUUCAUGUUUUGAUCAAAGUCCAAUUCGGCCUCUAGCUAUGACCUAAAAUUUCGGACAGAAUGUAGCUUCAAGAACCCUAAUUUUCCAGAAAUUCUUCCAAAUCCAAAAUUGAUUGCAAUUAUCAACUAGUCACACCUACUAGAGUCAAAGCCCCUUAUUACCAACCAUCAAAAACAACCACACCAUCAAGAUCAUAUGCAACCAGAAAAUUCCUCAUAAAAUGGAAAACUUCACCAAAUCAAGCCAAACCAAGAAAUAAAUCAUAUAUUCCAACACUCAAGCCACUUCUAAGCAUAAGAUAACCAUCAUUAGGUGUAGUAGAGGUUCAAGCAUCACUUACCAAGUAAUCAAGAGAGAUAGGGAGUGUGGACACCUUAGCUCUCCAAAAAAAACUUCACUAAGCACUCAAGAGCACCAAAGGAAGGAAUUUUAUGGAGUAGAUUCUAGUUUAAGCACUUGAGUUGGGUGAUUUGAGCUUGUUGGAAGCUUAAACUUGGAAGAGUUUUUCUUUCUUCUUGGAUGAGAGGUUCGGCCAUCAAGGAGCAAGAAAUGGUAAGUUUUGUUCAAUUUUUAAGAUAUUUAAACAAGUGGUCAAAAGGUCAAAAAAUAGAAUAGUAAACCAUAAAGUCCACCCAAUGGGAACAUGACACAUGGCACCUCAUUAAAUGCAUUCUUAUCAUUCUUUUCUCUCUCACAUCAAUCACUUCACACACACUACUUAUCUCUUAACACCCGACAAAUUUUCCACAGUAUCCGAAACUUAACCGUAUUGGCCGAAUUUUCCCGAACUUUUCGCACUCGUGGGUCCCACGUCCAAUAUAUAUUCUUACUGUUCUAAAACUACUCCAAUACUAGAAAAAUCAUCUUACAACUCUAAUUGCUCAUAAAAUCCAUCAAGAAAAUAUUCCUAAGCCAGAAAAUGCAGAAAACAUGCAAUUAAGGGGAAAUAAACCCUCGGAAAAAAAUAUUAGGGUUUUACGGGUUCUCACAUUCUAGCCUAGCUACGGGUGCAAAUGAUUCAUCGAAAUCGAUUCCUUCUUCUUGAGUAUAUCCCUUGGCUACAAGUCUGGUCUUAUUUCUUACUACCUCACCUUUGUCAUUCAUUUUGUUUCUAAAAAUCCAGUUUGUGUCAAUGAUAGAAUGAUCUUUUGGUCUAGCAACUAAUGUCCACACCUUGUUCCUUUCAAAUUGAUUUAGCUCCUCUUCCAUAGUUAAAAUCCAGUUCUCAUCUUUCAAAGUAUGAACUACAUUUUUGGGUUCAAAAUGUGAAACUAAUGCAAAAUUAUCCAUUAGUUGUUUAGAGGAGGAGCGAGUUCUGACCUUCUCCGAUGGAUCACCAAUGAUGAGCUCCUUAGGGUGGUUUUGAGCAAAUUUUCAAACUCUUGGAAGAUCGUUAGGUAUACUAGUGUCUCUAUCAUUCUCUUUCCUUACUGAACUGUUUUGAGUUUCAUCUUCCUUUGAAUCAUUUUCUGGUGGAACAAUUCUUUGGUUAGUGAUUGUGAGUUUCUUUAGUUCUUCUUGGAUACCUGCAUCAUCAUCUUCACCACUACUUAUGGAAAUGUCACCAUUAGAUUCAUCAAAAGUGAUAUGUAUAGCUUCCUCUGUAAUCAAAGUCCUUCGAUUGUAGACUCUAAAACCUCUCUUAUUCUCACAAUAUCCCAAGAAAAUUCCCUCAUCAAAUUUUUUAUCAAACUUUCCGAGAUGUUCCUUGAUGUUUAAAAUGAAGCAUUUGCAACCAAGACUUUAAAGUAUCCAACUACAGGCUUUUUAUCAAACAUAAGCUCAUAGGAGGUUUUGUUCAAGAUAGGUUUUAAAAGAACCCUAUUCGUGGUAUAGCAAGCUGUAUUUAUAGUUUCAGUCCAAAGGUAUUUUGAUAAAUUACACUCACUUAGCAUGGUUCUAACAGUUUCUUGAAGAGCUAUAUUCUUUCUUUCAACAACCACAUUUUGUUGGGGAACUCUUGCAAUUGAAAACUCAUGUGUAAUACCAUUGUUGUUACAAAAUUCUGAAAAGUCACAAAAAUGAAAUUUUGAGCCAUUGUCACUUCUGAUUUUGAUGAUUUUCAAUUCAAUCAAAUUUUGAACUUUUGCAAAUAGUGAAACAAAGUUUUUGAAAGCAUCAUCUUUGGGAGCAAGAAACAUCACCCAAGUGUAUCUAGAAUAAUCAUUAACAAUAACAAAGCAAAAUCUUUUGCCACCUAAGCUAGUCGUUUAUGUCGGACCAAAUAAAUCAAAAUGUAAAAGUUCUAGAGACUUUGUAGUAGAAAUACAUUUCUUGGGUUUAAAAGACACUUUGACUUAUUUUCCAAAUUGGCAAGCAUCACAAAUUCUAUCCUUUUCAAAUUUGAUCUUUGGCAGCCCUCUAACAAGAUCCUUCUUGGAGAUUUCUUUUAGUGGAUCCAUAUUGAAAUGACAGAGCCUUCUAUACCACAGCCAGGGGUCCUCAUUUGCUACUUUGAGACAACUAAGGCUAGAGGAAUCAACUUUUUCAAUGAUAAAGACAUAAAUGUCAUUUACUCUUUUUUCUUUGAAAACAGUGUUGAAUUUUGAAUCAAGAACAAGGCAUUCAUGCUUUUUAAAUAACACAAACAGAUUCCUAUCACACAAUUGACUAACACUUAACAAUUUAUAGCUCAAAUUGUCAACUAAAAGAAUAUUGUGAACAAAGGUUUGACGAAUUUUACCAAUAUCACCAAUUUCAACAGUUUUGGCUUUGUUAUCAUCUCCAAAUGUUACCUUUCCGCUUGCUUUUGGCUUGAGCUUGAUGAAUUGUGAUGGAUCACCAGUCAUAUGUCUUGAGCAUCCACUGUCUAUGAACCAUUUUGAUUCCUUAACAAUGUUCACCAGGUUCACCUACACAAAGAUCCACAAGAUAAUAUUGGUACCCUUUAUUUUUUGGAUUCUUGAGAGUUAGCAUCAUGUCUAACCAUCCGCAUGCAUCUCAUGCCAUUUCUCAUAUUUUUUCUAACAUAACAAUUGCUUUUAUGUGGCCAAAUUGACAACAGAAGCUACACAUAGUUAAUGAAUUAUUCAAAUGAACAGGUUUAAUAAAUCUUAUUUGUCUUCUUCUAUAGAUAGUAAACUCAUUUGCACUAUGAUUUAACCUUUUCUGAUGAGUACCAAAGUGAGGUUUUGUAUCAUUCCGUUGAAAACAGUUUUGUUUCUUAUGUUGAAGCAUCUGAUUAAGAUCAUCCAUUCUUCUUUUCAAACUACUUUGUUCAUUUUUGAGCAUGUCACAGAAGUUUGUCUUUCUAUCAAGUUUAGCAUACAAAUCAUUUUCAAUCCUUUUCAGGUUCUCAUUUUCAUUUCUCAGACAUUUAUUUUAUCGAAAAAGACUUGCAUUGUCUUGAAUCAGAAAGUUAAUCUUCUGUUUUAGUUUCUUGUUUCUAACAUAAGAUUCUUUCAAACUGUUAUGCAUUCUUUCCAUAAAAGAGUUAACAUCAUCAUCAGAUUCAUUAUUCACUAUCAGUUUGAGAGUUACAAGUAGUUACCUCUUCAUCACCAAUGGCCAUGAAAGCCAUUUGGACAGACUCCUCUUCUUCUUCGACUUCACCUUCUGAAUUGCAAUCAUUCCAGGUGAUCUGAAAAUUGUUAAAUUUUGGUUUUCGUUCAACCUUGCUUUCCUUCCUUUUCUUUAUUGGACAUUCAUUUGCAUAGUGUCCAAGUUGGCCGCAUUCAAAGCACUUAUCAGUUUGCUUUUUGUUGAACUCUAGCUUCCCUUUGUUUCUCAGGUUAUUGAACUGAUUUGGGAAUGAAUUGCUGAGUCCACUUUUUCUGAAUCUUCUCUUGUUGAGUAUUCUUUUGAAGCUUUUCGUGAUGAGUGCAAUAUCACUGUCAUCACCUUCCAUGUCAUUUUCAUCUAAGGAGGCUGAAUCAUCUUCAUCUUGUGAGGUUUUUAGAGCGAUACUCUUUCUCACUUUUGUAUCUUCUUCCUCCCGCACCUUGGACUUGAGUUUCAGCUCAUAAGAGGUUAAAGAAUUAAUAAGAGAUUCAAUGGGCAAGGUAUUUAGAUCUUUAUCUUCCUCAAUGGCAGUCACUUUACUCUCUCAUUCCUUGGAUAGAGCAUUCAGAAUUUUUCUAUUUUUCUCACCUAGAGAGUAAUCAUUUUCAAGUACUUCUAAGUCUUUCAUAAGAUCAUUGAAUCUGCAAUACAUCUUGUCAAUAUUUUCAUGAGAUUCCAUCUUAAAGGAUUCAUACUUAGUGACCAGACUGGACUUCUUUUGUUCUCUCACAUUCUCACUUCCUUCAUGGAUUUUUCUGAGUUUAUCCCAAAUUUCUUUUGCAGAUCUACAGUCUUUGACUCUAAUAGACUCAUUUGAAUCUAAAGCACUGUAUAAUACAUUCAUGGCCUUGACAUUUAAGGUAAGAUGAGUUCUAUCAUCACCAGUCAACUUACUCCUUGUUUUUGAUCUCGGCCUAUGAAUAAUUUCAUCAAUAAUAGAGGCAUCAUAUGGACAUUCAUUGACAAUAAACCAUAACUCAAUAUAAAUAGAUUGUAAGAAAAUAAUCAUCCUCUCUUUCCAACUCACAUAAUUUGAUCCAUUGAACAUUGGGGGUCUAGUGACGGAUUGUCCUUCAAAAAAUAUGGCAUUAUUGAUUGUCAUUUUUACUCCAAAGUCGAAUGAGCUUAAUCUCUAGGAAACCAAACUCUGAUACCAAUUGUAAGGAUCGAAGACAACCUAAGAGGGGGUGAAUUAGGUGGUUUAAAAAUUGGCCUAGAUAUGAGUCACUUUUUGAAAUCUUGCCAUCUUUUUCUGAAGGACCACACAAUGGAGCAAUUGAUGAAUAAGCACAAGUGCUUGGGAGUAGAAGAGAUAGAUAAUUUAUAUUGCAAGACAGUAAACAAAAAGAUAGAAUAGCAAACCAAGUUUCAAACUCCACUUGAGUUUGAAUACCACUUUAUAUAGCAAGAUUCUUCAAGUUGAUCAACUUACAACCAAUCUCUUGUGUACAAAGGAAGGAUCACUUCCUCCUCGCCCCAAGCCGCACUUGGUCAAGCAAGGAAGUUUUACUAUCACUUGGAUAACUCUCACAAAACUAUACUAUUGAAAAAAUAGAAACACACUUGAAAAGUUUAUUGAAAGUUCCACAACUAAGAGUACAAAUCUUCUUUAAAGAGUAUUCUCACACUUGAAUCACUCAAGAUCUGAUGUAGUUUCAAUGUGCGAAAGUUAUUUGAAGUGGUUGACUUUUUCCUUUUUAUAAGGGACCAAAAAACUCUUCAAUUAAUGCUACCAACGGAUAGAAGGCAGCUGAAGAAUCACCUAGCCGUUGGUGGUGUCGGACGUUCGGUAGGCUAGUUUUCUGCGUCCGAACACAGGUAGUGAGUUCAAGAAAUUUUCUUGAAAUGUUUAAGACGUCCAGUACCUCCAGAAUAUGCGUCCGAAGGUAUGAUGUAAAACUGGGAAUUCUCAUUCAAUUCGUUCGGACGUCCGGUACUCAGGUGUUGUUCGUUCGAUUGAUGUCAAUUAGCUUAGAGGACUUGGCUUAUCAUCUUCGGACGUCCGAGAGUGGGUUUUUCAUGCGUCUGAAGUUACUCAAUGGUUGUCAGACGGCCGAUGCAGUCUUUAUGUGCGUCCGACAUCUAUUUCAGCAUAUGUUAGUCUUUGAACCUGUUCUACUCCAAUUCUGGAAAGAUCUUAAUCAGAGAAUAUUAGUAACAUCCAUUUUUUGUAAUCAUCAAAAGUUACGGAUUGAGAUAAAUAAUUACUACUUUCUUAAAACUCUAGCUCGACUCCACUAUAGGUCAACAUGACUUGGCCUUUAUUUCAUAAUCAAACGACUUAAUUUAUGUGACGACCCCACCUCCCCCUAGGGCGUACCCUAGGGUUUAGCAAACCACCUGCCCAACUCUAGUUAGGACUCGUUCACUCACUUCAAAAAAAUAAGUUACAGCCUCAAGAGUAAAUGAAACAACAGUUCCCAAGCUUAGAACGUACAUUUACAUUCAUUUCUAUCUCAAACAUUCAUACAAUCCUCAAAUAUAACAAAAGAUUUGAGUUUCAGAUACAUUCAACCCUAAUCGAGCACUAGUGCACGUACAAUUGCCAAAAUUUCAAAAACUAGACUAUACUAGCAUGUACCAGCCUCACGCCUAUGCUCGUAUCCCCUGUAAGGAAAACAAAAAAUUCUAAUAGAGUAAGCCAAAGCUCAGUGAUGUUCCAAAACUUCAUGCCGAACCAAAUAGUAAGUUGGUCAUUAUGUAAAAUUUAAAAUCUCAAAAUGAGCGAGUGUAAAGUUUUUAAAAAGAAACAAUAACACUACAAGUAACAAUCAUUCCAAAGUAUAAGGAUACAGAUGGCUCUCAAGAGCCAAAUUCCCGCUACAUUACUUCAUCCGAAUCCAUUGACACUACGUCAACGUUUGAAGAAGCAAACCAUGACCGUAAAUCUCCACUUUAUACCAAUUUUCAUCCACCAAUCAACCCCCAACAAUUUAUUUCUUUUAAAAACCACGUCCAAGGUUAACUCCUUGGUUGGAGUCCAAAUCUGCAAUAAAAUAUCAUUGAAUAAUUUGAAAGCAAUUAGGGUUCAAAAUAUAAGAAUUUCGCUUAACGAAAAGCAAAUAAUUGAAACUCGUUCAAGCAGUAUUCAUUUCACUUAUCAAACUCUAGAAAAUUCAUGCUCGCUCGUUUGGUUUCGAUAAAGAAGUGAUUAACACUUUUGAUUCGCACUUGGUAUGAAAGAUUGAGAAAAUCGUAGUUAUAAGGGUCGUUAUUUUCACCUUUUAAAAAGGUACGAGUUUUGGCAAAAUUUUAGCUUAUAUACCUCUACUAACGGAAACUUAAAUACCAUAGACAAUCCAAGUUCACUUCGACUUCAAAUCGUCACUCAAAUUUCAAGUUCACUCGCUUAUCUUUCGCGCGAAAAUUUGGGCAGCAUUUCCCCUAUUUCUUACUUUUUCCAUCCAAGUACAACUUGGAUUUACAAGCCAACAAACCUCCAAUCCAACCACAAGUGAUAACCAACAACAUACAUAUAUUCAAGGCCUCAAAACUGUGAGGACCCAAAAAUUUCCCUAUUUUAUUUUAUUUUGCUAGUUUAAUUAAUUAUUUAGUUCGACUAUUUAAAAUCCAUUUAUAUGGAAAAACGCCUCUUUUAUGUUUUUAAAAUGUUUUGCUAGAAAAAGUUACUUUUCGAAAACUUGUUUAGUUCGAGACAACAAGUACACGUUUUUCGAGACUAUAUUUGAAUUGAGAGUGUAUUAAUUUUGGAAAAAUAAGAAUGAUCAAUAGUAGAUUAAGAAAAGUCGUGAGAACUCGUAAAAAUGUAUUUAUUUUAAACUCCUGUUACGAGUUUAUUUAAAUAUUUAAUUACUUGUUUGCCCCGAAUAUUAUUUUCUAACUUUUUUAGACCCAAUUGCAUGGAACUAUGACUUACAUGUAUUUUUAAAAUGACUUGUUACGAAAAUUAAUUUUUGAAAGCUCGUUAAGUGAGAAUAGCGAAUACGCGUUUCGAGACAGUGAUCGAUUUGGGGAUACAAUAAGCUCGAAAAAAUUGGAGACUUAUACAUUAGUUUUAAAAUAGGUAUUUUUAUGUUUAAGUGCUCAAGUGAUAGUUAUUAGUACUAUCGUUAUAAGAAUUUCUUAGAGGUCUCGCUUUAUCGUGCUUAAAUCGGAAAUACGCGUUUUUACGGACGCGAUUAAUUGAGGGACUUAAGGCCAUUAUUUUUGAACUAUUAAGAGUGAAUAACAAUAGUAUGUAUACAAGUACAUUAGAGGUUUAGUGCACUAGUGCAAUAAAUCCGAGAGGAAUCGAGCACGAAGCGUGCGGGUACACGCACUAUCCUUAGUUGACUUUUGGAGCAUUUUGGGCUGCACAUUAUUAAGCUUCUCAUGGGUGCAUCACACUAGAUCAAAACUCUUCAAUUCAUCAUCUAAAGUGGCGUGCAACACUCCCUCCAUUUUUGCUCCAAGACAGCCGAAACCCAGAAGAAGAAAAAGAGACCAAAAGCUCUUCAUUUUGUUGCUUAUUCCUCCAACCAUUUCACCUCAAAAUUUGUACACAACUUCCUUAAUACUAGAAGAACAACUCUAGCCAGGUGAGGAGCAUCAUUUCCACGGUUUUCUUGGGCAUUCAUUGGACCAAAAAUUCUGCCCUAGUUCAUCAAGAGAGGUAAAGGAUGAUCAACCUCUUGAAUCUUAGUUUAUAGAAGUAGUAUUGCACUUAUAAGUUUGUAUUUCCAUGUGGGUAGCUUUAUUUAUGUUGGAUUUUGGUGUGUGGGCUCUAUGAACUCCCACCUUGGAUAUAUGGACUGAUUUGUGAUGUUUUGAUGGUAAUAAUGUUUAUUUAGUGCUUAAACUAGUGGAUUAAUGUUGGAUUGUUGAUAGAAACUCAAGGAUGGUGCAAUGACCAAAAGUGACCAUUUUGCCCCUGCUUUGUUCAAGUACUUUGGUGCGAAAUUUUGAGGUUCUAAUGACUUGUCUAUGUUGUUUACAUGUUAUAUUGAGUGUGUAAAAUUUUUUAUUGAAAAUAACUUGAUUUGGUCACCCAAAUGUUGGAUUUAUGAAAGCUUAGAAAUCUGGAAACUAUUCCCGUAUUCACCCAGGCAGUCCUGUUGUUUCGGCUCUAACAUUUUACUCCGAUGUCGAAAUCGAGUGCCGUUUGCGGCACUGGAAACUAGAUAUUCCCAGAUUUCUAUUGGUAUAAAAUGCAUGUCCUGGUUCCAUUUGUGUGAGGCAAACCAUUCGUUUGAAGUUUGCUGUCCUGUUUCGUUGGUUCACUACAGGGCAGAACAUGAACUACAACAUGAUGCUCAAAUGUGAGCUAGUUACGGAUGGAUUUUGAAAAUGGUUUCUUCUGAGAAAUUGUAGCUUUAUGAAAGUGUUUUCCAACGCCACCAACCACAUCCAAUUCCGAGUUAAAUUGAGUGAUUUGUGGCCGUAUUUCAAAACUAACUUCUUGAAGGAAAACUCUCCUUUUGGGCAGAAUUGUUACUAAACUCGAUUGAGACUUGUUAAUUUGAGAUUCUUGGUGUUAAUCACCCAAAAUUGUGACCAAAUGACCAAAUUUUGCCGAAUUUCCAAAGUUUACCAAAACCAACCCCAAAUCUGUCUUGGGAGUUCAAAUCAGUAGUUUUAAGAAAAAAUUUGAGUGUCUUCCAUUUAGAAUCAUGGAAAAGUGUCUUCUAGGAACUUUUAGUACUUUGGAUGUAUUUUCCAACGGUACCAAUUUUUUCAAUUUUGGACCUACGGAGAGUGAGAUAUGAUUUUUCAAAAAUUGCACCUCAAAUCUAGAAUUUCUGAAAUUGAAGGGAAUUGAGUUUUUAGAAACUCUCCAUUACCCUCCGAUAUCGCUUGACUGUUUUAUACUUGAUUUCAAAGAUGAAAUCAGUUUUUCCUUGUAUCAUUAAACCCCACUUUUGAGUCUCAAUUUACGAGUAAUUAGGGCUCUUUUCACGACAUUUCCUUAGUGUUGCACAAAGAUACAAUUUUCCCUUGAUAGCUAGGGGUUUAUAAGUGAAAGUGUGUAAUAACCAAUUAUUUUAUUCAGGCAUUCAAGGGGACCUUCAAGAGGAUCUCACAAGAGACACUUAAACAUUGGAUUGUGCACCACUCUCUUAUUUUGACUAGGUGAAUGUCAAGUGCAUGAAUAUUUGGAAAUUAUGUGAACUGCUCAAUAUGAAAUGGAUGGUUUAUAAUUGUUGAGUCGAGUGUGUACUUUGUCGAACGCAUUCUCAUUUAAAUGAAUUGUAAUUUAAUUGUCUGAAAUGAAUUGAAUUAUAUGCUAUGGCUGCAUAUGUCGUUGGAGUGAAUCUCCUCGACUCAUAAUUGAACUGUAUGACUGCCGAUUGGAGUGUGCUCAUCGGCCUAUAACGGUAUUUGUUGAUUGGACUGAAUGUCAUCAACCCUUAUAAUUAUAAUCGUAUAAUCGGGUCUCUGAACGAUAGCAUGUACCACACUGAUUCGGGUGGGAGGUACCUCUCAUGUCGGUUCAAAACCCUAAAUAAAUGAUCGGUUCUCUGAGCGAUAGCAUGUACCACACCGAUUCGGGUGGGAGGUACCUCUCAUGUCAUCUCAGAACCAUAAUCCUUUCUAAGUCGGCUGGAGCGAUGUCUCAUCGACUACUGGGUGAUAGUAUGUACCACACCGAUGCGGGUGGGAGGUACCUCUCAUGCCGACUCAGAAUUAUAAAAAAAGUAUAAGUUGAUUGGAGCGAUGUCUUAUCGACCACUGAGCGAUAGUAUGUAUCACACCGAUCCGGGUGGGAGAUACCUCUCAUGUCGCCUCAGAACUGUAAACACAUAAUCGAUUCCCUGAGCGAUAGCAUGUACCACACCAAUUCGGGUGGAAGGUACCUCUCAUGUCGACUCAGAACCAUAAAAGGAAUAAGUGAAGUUCUACAGACUUAAUUACCUACCCGGUUGACGGAGUGUCAUCACAUGGAGGUAUUGAAUUGAACUUGGGCAAAGCAAUUGGAAAUUCGCUCCUGAGAGCUCCUGCAUCCUACUCAAGUGUAUUUUAUUAUAAAUUGUAAAUUACUUGAAUGUUAUAGUUUUCAUUAUUGUGUAAGUGCUAUUCUUAUUUGAACUACGUGAUUUGCAUGUUUUCUUGGCCUCACGAGCAUUCGCACACCCCGUUAGAUUUGUUUUCCUUAACAGGAGUUGAAAUUGAAGGAAUUAUGGAGAAGUCGACUUGAUGGCCCCUUUUGAUUAGAAUUUUGAAUGUAUUUGUUUAGACAACUUUUGGAAGCUGUAUAUUUUGGGAAUGUAAGAUAUUUUUGGUAACUUAUGAUGUAAGAUUUGAACGAUUAGUAAGGAAUUGACCUUCCUUUAUAUCUUUGACUUUUAGUAUCAAUUGGUUAUUCUUAAGUUUGAAUUGAAUUUGUACCGAGUCCUGACGAGAGCUAGGCAGGCGUUCCGCGGAUACCCUUGGGUUCGCCUUUGGGAGAAGUGGGGGCAUCACAGUUGGUAUCAGAGGUUAGGCUUCAGAUCUUUGUAGUGUAUCCUAGGCUUAAAAGUUUAGGAUGCCGGACUGUGGGACUGGUUUGAAAGUUAAGUGACUAUUUGUAGGGAUAAAAAUCAGAGCAACUUCGCGUGGUCUUUGCGCGGAGUGAGCUUGGUCCAAGUGGUGAUAUGGUCCCAAUUAUGUGAAUAUGUAUAAAGGACUAAAUACUCUUCUUGUGCGUAAGUUGUGAACUACGAAAGUGGUAAGUGUAAAACCUUUAUCCUGCUAUUUGAGGUAGAUGGAUAUGUACGUCAGGUAGGGAUCUUAAACUUUGUUGAUUUGCACUUGGGAGCGUACGGCCUGAGUUGUAAAUUCUGUUAGUUUUGGAUUCUUGUACUUGAGUACUAAAUACUUUUCUUGAGGGAAUACUUGUGGCUACGGAAGGAAUAUAGUCUCAUGUAUUAUAAUGUGAAUAGAAAUCAUAAGUGGUUUUGAGAUAAGUUCUGAUGGCAAAGGUCAGAGCACGGAGGAUUCUUGUAUUGGACUUGAGAUCUCCAUUAGGGGAAAUGAACGAGAAAAAUUAGACCCUUUUGACAGGUAUAGCUGGAAUUAGCUGGGGUGACGUUUAGUGCUGAGGUCAUUGUAUUUUGCAUGAUUAUGUGGCCUACUUUUGGGGCACUUGUUUGACUUUAGCUUUCUGUGACUAAAAGUACUUUUGUGGCACCUGUGUGCUAUAUUUUUGUGAUUUUCCCCUGACUUACUAAUUGUAUGGAUUUUGACAUGUUAAUGAAUGUAAAUUAUUGUUAUUUUCAAUGUUUUCGCAAUUGGUCCUUGUUUCAAGUAUUUUCUCGCGUAAUUGAUUUAUUUCUUGCACUAGGCAUACCUAGGUUAUGGAAGGGCUAAGAAGGGGUCGAAGCCGUGGCCGAGGCCGUGGGCGAGGGACUGGACGAACCCAACCUCAAGGGGGUGAACAAGGAUCGGCAACUAGACCGACCCAAGGACAAGAAAAUAUAGAGGUUAACCAAAUGGCUACUGCCAUUAAUAGGAUGACUGAUAUCCUAGAACGAUUAGUUGAGAGACAGGGACCAGGGCCAUUUAACCAACCCGGGGGCCAGGAUAGAGGGGAAGAUAGAGCCUUGGAGAGAUUUCUUAAAUUCAACCCGCCUAAGUUCACUGGUGAGCCUGAUCCUGAGGUAGCGGAGAAUUGGCUAGAAAGAAUGACUAACAUUUUCGCCGCCCUAGAUUAUGCGGAGGAGAGAUGAGUAACUUUUGCUGUCUUUCAGUUUGAGGGUGCAGCACGUGCUUGGUGGGAUAUGAUAAGGGAAAAAUGGGAAACAGCACAAACCCCUUGGACCUGGGAAAAUCUUUUAGAAGAAUUUAAUGAGAAAUUUCUUCCGCCCUUGGUUCAAGAGAAACGGGAGGACGAAUUCAUAAAAGUGAAGCAGGGGGCGUCUAGUGUGGCCGAGUAUGAAGGAAAAUUUACUAAACUUUCUAGAUACGCCCCAGAAUUGGUAGCCACUGAGAGGAGAAGGAUAAGGCGAUUUAUACAGGGACUUAACGUGGAGAUUCAAGGGGGGUUAGCAGCGGCCCAAAUCUCUACUUUCACCGAGGCCCUAGAGAAGGCUCAGAGAGUUGAAAGUGCAAGGUUGCAAGUUAAGGAUUUUCAUGCCAAGAAAAGGGGCACUUCUAGUCAUCCUCUUGGACAAGUAGAUAAGGGUGUCCCACCUUCUAAAAAGGAAAAAGUAACGGGAGGAGUGGAGACAUCAAGUACACAAAAAAGGACUCAAUCAAGAGGAGGCCACAAUGGACGAAAUCAACCGAGGGAAACACCUCCAAGUGGUCAGCCUGUGGCUCCUCAAAUUAUUUGUGGUUAUUGUCGCAAGCCUAACCAUACAGAGAAUGAGUGCUGGAAGAAAUCAGGAAAGUGUUUGUAUUGUGGCAGCACUGAACAUCAGAUCGCAAACUGUCCGAGUAUACCGAAUGAAGGUGGUAGUACUCAAAGGCUUGAAAAGUCAACUGCAAAGCAGUCUAGUAUUAGAGGAAGUCGAUCUAAAGCACCAGGUAGGGUUUAUGCAUUAGGCUAUCAACAGGUUUCCAAUCCCACUAAGGUCAUUGAAGGUAUGAUUCUUGCUUCCUAUUGUUUAACUAAGGUUCUAAGUGACCAUAGUACGACACACAUUUUUACAAAACCCUAGAUUCGUGAGAUAGAAUAAAAGUUUGACUACAAAUUGGGUGAGUAGAAAUUGUGAAAAACUUGGGUUGCAGAGUGUAGGUUAUUGAUUGACCUGAUAAGCGUGACUAUUAAGGGGUAUGACUAUUAACCUAAGUGUGAAUUUCGAGGACGAAAUUCUUUUAAGGAGGGGAGGAUGUGAGGACUCGCAAAAUUUAUCUAUUUUAAACUCCAAAUUCUAACUUAUUUAAUUAUUUACUUGGCCAUUAAUUCCGAAUAUUAUUUUCUAACCUCUUGAAACCUAAUUACAUUGAUCUAUGACCUACUUAUAUUUUUAGAGUGGCUCGUUUCAAAAAUUAAUUUUUUCGAAACCCGAUAAGUGAAAAUAGUGAAUGCACGUUUGGGAACGAUAACCGAUUUAAGAGUACAAUAAUCUUGGAAAAUUUGAGACAUGUACAAUGGUCCUAAAAUAGGCAAUUUUAGGUUUAAAUACUCAAAUGAUAGUUAGUGGUACGAUCGUUAUAAGAAUUUCUCGGAGGUUUCACUUUAUCGCGCUUAAAAGUGGAGAUACGCGUUUUCACUCGCGCGCGAUUAAUUGAGGGACUUUAGACCAUUAUUUUGGAACAAUUAAGAGUGAAUAAUAUUUAUAUGAAUAUAAGUGCAUUAGAGGUUUAGUGCACUAGUGAAAUAAACUCGAGAGGAAUCGAGCACAAAACGCGCGCGUACGCGCACUAUUCCUAGUUGACUUUUGAAACAAACUUUGGCCAAAUCUUAAAGCUUCUCACGGCAGCUUAUCAUCAGCAAUUGCUCUUCUUUUUCUGCUCUCCUCAGCCGAACAACAAAGCAAGAAAAACAGCUCAAGAGUUUCCCAAAUUUCUUCCUCAAAUCUUCAUCAAACUUCCUCCAAUUCACUUCAAAUUUCACCCACACUUAGCUUAACUCUUGGAGAUUACAUCUAGCUAAAAAUAAAGGGGGAGCAAUCCACGGUUUUCUUGGGCAAGGAGGGAGCCGAAAUUCUGCUUGAACAUCAAACCAAAGUAAGUGAUGAUCCACUCUUGAAAACUUGAAGUUUGGAAGCUAUCUUACCUAGUUAAGUUCAUUUAUGCCUUUGGUUAGCUUGUUUAUGGUGUAAAAUGAAAUGGGUGGGCUCUAUGAACUCCCACCUUUGUCUUGGGGACUGAUCUCAUGUUUGAUGAUGGAUCUAAUGUUAGUUUAGUGCUUAAAAUGGUAGAUUAAUGUUGCAUAACUAGUAGAAACUUCAAGGAGUGCAAGGAUGAAAAAGUUUCGAUUCUGCCCCUGCUUUGAACGUACCUAUUUCUGCAGAAUUUUGGGGAUUUAAUGGCUGGUAUAUGAUGUUUAUAUGUUGUAUAGAUGGUGUAUAAAAUUUCAUUGAAAAAUAUUGAGGUUUGGUUGGUCAAAUAUAGCUCUUGAGAGCUCCUAUAUCCUUGAAUUGUUUCUGUUUACUUUUCUCGCUUGAAUUGUAAUUUACUUGAACCUUAUUGUUCUACUUGAAUAUUGGGAUUGUUACUUGGACAACGUGCUUGCAUGUGUGUUUUCUUGGCCUCACGAGCUAUUGGCUCACCCCGUAGAUUUGUUUUCCUUAACAGGAAUGGAUGGAGUGAAACUCGAUGGAACCCUUUGGAUGUACUUUUGUAUUAGGGUUUCAAAUGUAAUUGACUAGACAUUUUGGUUGUAUAUAUUUGGGAAUUGAUGUAUCUUUUGGAUCCUGAUGUAAGAAUUGGAUAUCGGAUGUAUUUUGAACUCGUGGUGCAAGACUUGGAUAUUCGAUUAUGGAAGCAACUUUUCCUCAUUAGACUAAUAUAAAUUGUUAUAUAUUGUUAAGUUUGAAUUGAUUGGUCUCGAGUCCUGGCGAGAGCUAGGCAGGCGUUCCGCGGAUACCCUUGGGUUCGCCUUUGGGAGAAGUGGGGGCGUCACACAGCCUCGGAAACAUACGAAAGCAAUCGUAGACCUUGACAUGCUGCUCAGGAUGAGAUACACCCACAUUGGACAACGCAUCAGUAGCUUUGUUCGCCUCCCUGUAGCAAUGUAAGAAUCGAGAAGGAUCCUCAACUAAGUGCCAAAUCUGUCGGACCUCCCUUUGGAUCUGCCACGGGCACUGAAGUACCCACUGGAGAACCCCCACUAAGACCAGUGAAUCUAAUUGCACACACAGAUUACUAAUACCCCUAUGGACACACGUUUGAAGACCAAUCAGAAGCGCCAAAGCCUCCGCACGAAGACAAGUCGUUUUCCCAAAGUAAGCUGAGAAAGCAAAUAGAGGCAGCCCAGUCGAAUCCCGAAGGACCCCACCGUGUCCACCCACUCCUGGAUUACCCUUAAAGAAACCAUCAGUAUUAAGUAUGAACCUCCCCAUCUCCUUCGCCUCCCAGCGAACAAAUUUGAAGUCAAAAACACUGGCAGGCGAGCUUGGCCAAUCAUACAACUGCCAAAAUGAUCGCACCCCAAUGACUUGUUUGAAAUGGAUCUCCACAAUGUAUUUGAUUUCCGAAAAACUAGCUUGGCAAAUGGCAGUAGACCACAUCUGUACACCCUCAAACAUUGCUUUACUCCUAGCCUUCCAAAUAUGCCAAUAGAUAAAGGUUGGAAGAAUAAGGCAGAUAAAACACUGUGUCGCAAAGUCUUGUGACUGCAACCACCAGUCAACUAUGCGAGCUCACAAUGAAAACGCCGGGGAAGUAAAACCACACAGAUCUCCAAAAUAAUUCCAAACCUCCAAUGCUAUGUGACCCGUGGAGAACAAAUGCUCAAUAGAUUCCUCAGACACAACUUGACAGCAAAAACAUUUAGAAGGCAAGUGGAACCCAAAUCUACAUAAAGUAUCCGGCAGCGGCAGCCUCUCCGUCAACAAACACAACAUUAAAAAUGACACUUUCAAAGGGAUCUGAGGAUGCCAAACCUUAGAGAGAACGAUCGACGUGUUUCGGGCCUGCCGAACGUCCCGAAAAGCUGAAGCUAGUGUAAACUUUCUAGAUGUCGUUGGCGACCAAAUGACUUCAUCUGCACAUCCUCCGUCAGGAACCGGGUGCUGUAAGAUAGAGGGAAUAAUGUCCCAGGGCAAGGUUCGGGAUAACAGAUUUACAUCCCAGCGCACAUUUGCAAUGGCAUUUUGGAACGAGAGCGUUGGACCAAUUGGUGCUUUAAGAAAUAAAGCACCACUGACUAACCAGUUGUCGUACCAAAAGUGACGCGACCCAUCAUUGACUAACCAUACCAUAGAAAGUUCCAUUCGUCGGCUCACGUUCAACAUUCGCCACCAGACUGCCGAAUCCGUCAACCUCAACUCCGCUUGGCAAGGGUGGCUUAUUUUGUAGUACUUUGUAUGCAUGAAAGCAGCCCACAACGAGGAUCCCGUUCAAAAGCUCCACCAUAGUUUACAAGAAAAAACUGUGUAGACGUCCCUAAGCCUCCGAAAUCCCACUCCCCCCUCCUCAACCAGGAAACAAAGCUGAGACCAUCGUAUCCAGUGAAACUUCGAUCCGUCGGACGUUGACCCCCACAAGAAAUUCGAGCAAACCUUCUCUAUGGUGUUAAACACCGAGCCAGGAAUCACAGCAGCGGACAGCAGAUGAACUGGCAUGGACGACAACACAUGCUUGAUUAACACCAUCUUUCCUCCCGAUGACAACAGCCUUGAUUUCCAUGACAAAACCUUUCCUAGAAUAGACUAACACACUUCACCAUAAUAUGAUGAUUUACACCUCCCAAAAUAAAGCGGAAACCCUAAAUAGCGUAUAGGGAAAGGCUGCCAAACAAACCUUGUGACACGUUCAAUCACCAUUCUUCUAGCCGACGUUGCCACCCCUUGACUUUUUCCCAAUACCCGACACCAUCUCCUGAGCUAGCAAGUAGUUCUCCGAUAUAUUGCGGCCCUUCAUAAAGCCUGUUUGCUGAGGAGAGAUAAUCCUUGGCAAGACACUAGCCACUCUAUCAAACAGAUUCUGGAUAACAACUUGUUAAAGAAAUUACACAGACUAAUCGGCCUAAAUUGAGAGAGAUCCUGAGGAUUUGGAACCUUAGGGAUCAGCACAAUCGAGGUAGAAGUGAUGAACUGAGGAAGCUUUGCCCUACAGAAAAAACUGAGUACCGCAUUAUACACAUCCUGAGCAAUUACUUCCCACGCAAAGGUGGAGAAUUACCCGUGAACCCAUCGGGGCCAGCUGCACUGUCCCCAUCCAUUGCCUUCACCACUUGAUGAACUUCCUCUAUAGACGGUACCACCUUUAACAUUCUAUUGUCCUCUCCCGAAAUCAUGGAUGGAAUGAGGUGCAACCUACUGGAAUUGGACUCCACAGGUCCAGAGAAUAGGUUCGAGAAAUAUGUUAUUGCCUCACUUGCUAUAUCGGCAUCCGCAUCCAUCCAGUCACCAUUGGAUUUCUUUAUUCGAUGUAUCAUUCGUUGAACCCGUCUCUGCCUUACUACAGCAUGAAAAUACUUUGAGUUACGAUCUCCACUUCAAAGCCACUUGACCCAAGCCUUUUGACUCCAGUACUGUUCCUCAAUAAACAAUGUAUUACGUAGCUUUGCCUGGGCCUUCCUAAUCUCAACUUGACCCUCCUCCGAAUCAUCUUGAUCUGCGGCCUCCUCUGCCCUUUCCACCGUAACCUCCGCCUCACAAACAGCCUCGAACACAUUUCCAAAACAUUCCUUGUUCCAAGCCUGAAUAGCCCUCCUCGUCGCUAAUAAUUUAGAGCGCAAAACACGCAAUAGGGGGCCACUUACCGCUUGACCCUAGGCACGUCUAAUCACCUCUAAAAGUUCUGAUUUAGUCAUCCAUACAUUCAAGAAUCGGAAUGGCCUUGGCUUAUUAUCUAUCCAAGAUGCAAAUGAAAUCUUCAAUGGUGCAUGAUCCGAGCGAUGCCUCGCCAGAUGAACAAUAGAGAUAGCUGCAGAAAAAUCCAAACAUUCUCCAUUGACUAACAACCUGUCCAAUCUCUUUGAAACUCUAACUCAACCUCUCCUAUUAUUACACCACAUGAAGCUAGAACCCGAGGAAGCCUCUUCUAAGAAGGACAUAAAUUCCACCCCCUCAACUACAGCAAACGGACGGCCCCCCGGUUUUUCAUGAGGCGUCAUUAUGACAUUAAAGUCCCCCCUAAUACACCAAGGAAGAGAGUUAGGCUUAUCAGCUAAUAAGCUGCACCAUAAAUCUCUUCGCUUCUCCAUUGAGCACUUUGUAUGAACAAACGACAUGACAAUUGACCCAGGCAUCAACGGGUACUAAACAGAUAAAGAUAUAUGUCGAUCCGAAUUACCAACAACCGAACACACGAAAGGACUAUUGUAGAACACCUAAAUGUCACCAGAACGAUUAACAAUCACAAAAUCAAAAGUAAGCGUAAUCGAAUAGACUCAAUUUUAGACACAUCUAAUUUCGGUUCACAUAUAACAACGAACUUAGCAUGAUGUAACCUUACUAACUUAAUCAAUCUUCAUAGAUUAGGAGCUUUAGCCACCCCUCUAAUAUUCCAAAAGAUGCCAUUAAUCAUGGGAUAAAACCUGGAAGGAGUUAAAGGAGGAUGUCGCAGACCGCAGCUGUCUAUCAGAGGGAAAACGUGAACGCACACCCUUCCCUCUCACUUGUUUGAAAUCUCGCUCAACCACCUCAGAUUGAUCAAUAUUCAAAGCCAUUUUUGUAUAUGUAGCCAAAACAAUGCAUUACGUAGCUUUGCCUUAAUUUUUGAAUCCUACAAAAUAAACAUAACAAACACAUCUUAAAACAUCUAAUAAAUAUGAAAACACGCUAAAACAAAAUAAAUGACUUAAAACAUUGGGUUGUCUUCCAAUUAUCGCUUUUGUUUAUUAGUCGUUGGCUCGAUUCAAAAGUGUUUCUUCUUGAACUUUAUUUUGGAGGGGAAAAGGAACUAGUUCCUUCCUAAGGGCCAAAACCUCUCUUUGCAUUCUCCGUAUUUUGCGCUUGCCCUAUCCCCAAAUCAUCCUCAUCAUCAAACAAAGAAGACUUAGUAUGAUCAUAAUAUGUAUGAGAAUUUUUUGAGAAACAUUUUAAACAAUCCCAAAGUUUACUUGGUUUCUUGCCUUUACCCACUUGAACUUUAAGAUUAAGGAUCUCUUUUCCUUUAUUCUUCAUAUUAGGCAUAUUAUAGGCAUGAGAAUCAAGAAUUUCAACAUGAUAACUUUCUUUAUAUAACUCUUGUAUAACAUUAACCUCCUUAGACUUAAAAGGUUUUCCAUGCCAUAAAUCAAGAUCCUUACUUUCAUUAAGUUUAAAUGCUAACUCUUCACCAUUUACUCUAAAGGUCAACUUACUUUCUUGAACAUCAAUUAAAGUUUCGGCAGUGAUUAAGAAAGGUCUACCUAAAAUAAUAGGUAAAUGCAUAUCUUCUUUCAUAUCAAACACAAUAAUAGCUAAGAAAGAUUUAUCUAAAAUAAUAGGUAAAUGCAUAUCUUCUUGCAUAUCAAGCACAAUAAAGUCAAUUGGUAUAAAGAAUGAUUUCACCUUAAUGAUGACAUUUUCAAUAACACCAACCGGACGCUUUAUGGACCUAUCUAUCAAUUGAAGAGUAACAUUUGUAUCCUUCAUCUCCCUCAAAUCAAGCUUCCUUGCAAUGGAAAGUGGCAUCAACGAUACACUUGCAUCUAAAUCACAUGAAGUAUUAGUGAAAUUCAAAUGUCCAAUAGUACAAGAUAUGGUGAAACUUUCCAAAUCUUUAAGCUUUGUUGGAAGUUUAUUUUGAACAAAUAUCGAGCAUUCCUCCGUUAAUACUAUUGUCUCAUGAUCUUCAAUUUUCCUCUUUCGUGACAUGAUAUCCUUCAAAAAAUGAGCAUAAAAGAGAAUUUGUAAGAUAGCAUCAACAAAAGGAAUAUUAAUUCUAAUUUGCUUAAACAUUUGAGCAAAUUUCUCAAAUUCCUUCUCCUUAUUGCUUUGCUUCAACCUAUCAGGAAAAGGAAUGGAGUUAGUAGCAUUCUUAUGAGAAAUAUGAGAAGAAAGCAUAUCAAACUCAUUUGGAAAAUGAUCUUUUUUUAUAUUCUUGUUCAUUUUUACCCCAUUUUCAUCAUUUCUUCCAUUUUUAUCAUGGUGAUUAUCCUCUAAUUCUUUACCACACCUAAAAGUCAUUGCUUUCAUAUGUUCUCUAGAAUUCACCUCAGUUUUACUUGAAAAUUCACCCGGUUGUCUCAUAUUAAUGGAAUUCGCAAUAUUAUCUAAUUGGCCUUACAUAUACCUUGUCAUGGUCAUCAUAUUAUUCAUGUUUAUUUUUGUUUCAUGAACAUGAUUUUCAAAUUUAGCCUCUAAAGUUGAAAUACGUGACUCAAGUGUCCUUGUUUGAAAAUCGGGUGGAUUGAGAGGUUUUUAUGUAUUUAGUUGAUCUCUCUACCCUAAAUUUGGAUGAUUCUUCCAACCGAGGUUGUAAGUAUUCGAAAAAGGAUUGUUUUGAGAUGGUUGAUUGUAGUUGUUAACAUUAUGAACUUGUUCCACACAAAACAAUUAGCACUAUCAUGAUAUGGAAUAAUAAGCAACACUUACAUGAGAAUUUGAACCACUUCCCCCUUGUUUACUUAGCAAUCUCUCAACAUUAUCCAUACGAGAAUUAAAAAUGUUUUCUAAUUUAGCUCUUAAAAGGUUGAGAGAGUCAAUUUCAUACAUACUGGCCGCUUUUCUUGAGUUACUUCUCUCAUUUGCCCAUUGAUAGUUGUUAGAGGCCAUUUCCUCUAUCAAAGAUUGAGGAUCCUCGGUUGAUUUUCCGAUUAAAGUUCCACCGGUGACUGCAUCUAUAUUAAUUUUGGUUGGAUAGUUGAGUCCAUUGUAGAAGGUUUAAACAACCAACCAAUCGAGGAGGCCAUGGUGGGGACAUUUUCUUUGAAGAUAUUUAAAUUUCUCACAAGUUUCAUAUAACGACUCGCUUUCAUGUUGAGUAAAACUUGUGAUAUGCAUACGAAAUUUAGCCGCUUUUCCCGGGGGGGGGGGGAAUACUUGUUUAAGAAUGCUUUUGUCAACUCAUUCCAAGAAGUAAAAGUAAAAGUAUUAGGUGGAUAAGAAUUAAGCCAUACCUUCGCCCUAUCACAAAGUGAAAAAGGAAAUAACCUUAGCUUAAUUGUAUCAUCACUUAUUCCAUUUAUUUUGAUGUACCACAUAAAUCCAUGAAAUUAGCUAGAUGAGUAUUACGAUCCUCCGUUGCAUUUUCUCCAAAUUGACUUUGUUGAACCAUUUGGAUGAGUGAGGGCUUGAUUUCAAAGUUGUUUUCAUUAAUUGCUGGCCUUGCAGUGCUUGUUUGUGCUCCCAAUUCAUUUGGCAAGGCAUAAUUCCUCAAAACUCUUGGCCUUUGUUCCUCCAUUUCAACGGAAGUUUCACCUACACUUUCUACCUCAAUUUCUUCUUGUUGGGUGUGUCUUCUUCCUCUUCUCGUUGUGUUUAAUACUUGAAGAUAAGUUGUGCUUUUGGUGAAGAACUUAGUAUCUAAGAAUAACCAAAAUGAAAAACUAAAAGAUAGACAAUAUAAGAUUAGCAAAAUAAAGAUGAAAUACAAAGUCUAGAUUAAUAAAGUUUGCUUUAAUUCCAGUGUUGAACCUAAGUCUAAGUCUAAAUCCCUGAUAAUGGCAUCAAAAAAUUGAUAGGGUAUUUCACUACACUUCAAAUUUUAAAAUCUUAUUACCCUAUUUCUGUAAGUGCACGGUUCGUUUCUUGAAUAUAGGGAUAAUAGGUGUCGAUCCCACAGGGAUUUAGAAUUUUGGCAAUCAUUUGAGUUUAAUCAUUUGCUUUUUUAUCUAAACAAUCAAAGUAUAAGGACGUAAAAGGAAAGAAAGUUAAUUAGGAGGUAAACCAGCCAUGAAAUAGGUUAGUUUAAGCGGUACAAUCAGCCAUAAAAGUUAGAAGUUAGCUUAGACGGCGCAAUCGGCCAUAUAACAUAAGCAAUAAAUGUAAAACCAGCUAUUAUAUGAUAAGACGAACCAUCUAGGUAGUAAGUUGCAAGAAAGUAAAAAAAAAAAGUAAAGAACAAGUUAGAUUAAAGUUGUUAAAGAUUAAGUGAGAUGAUCCUAGGGAUUAGAAUCCCUUAUUAUGUCAAGAUUAGAAAUUAGUUAAGGUGAUUAUGUUUAUACUUCCAUGAAUGGUUAAGAAAUAACUUCCAAAUGUAUGUCCUUGCUUUCGGCAAUGGACAUCUAAGAGCAACUGCCUUGGCUAAUUCAUCUAGAAAUUACUUUCGUCAAUUCCUUUAACUCCUUGAAUCAUCCUUCACCUAUUUUCACAGAGAAAAGGUAAGAAACAAGUUAAAUAAAUUCAAAGAAGUUAUUAUAUGAAUCCAACCAACCCUUAUUCACUACUUUCGUGAGAACAAAGCUAGUAUUUAAGAACUUAGAUCUAUUGAAGGUAACUUUCAUUGUUCAACUUUAUCAAAUCAUUUAUAGUUGAUGACCAAACAACUAUAAAGCAUAAGUACAAGUUCUCAAAUUAACAACUCAUGAAUAAGCAUAAUCAUCCCUUAACUACUUCAAAUCAAAACUAUAACAAAUUCAUCUUCACCCUAGGAUAUGAAAAAGUUUAGCUGGACAUCAUAUUAAGAACAUCUAAGCAUGAAGCAAACUUGUAACAAAGCAUGCAAAAUAGAAACAAGAAACAAAGUUUAGGAGGAAAAAUUUUUAUUUUAUUUCUUCAAACUUGAAUCCUUGAAUUCAUUCACAAGUUGAUCUUUCAAAUAAGUUUGAUAUAAGAGUGUUUGCAUCUCCCUCUCAAAGCUCUUUAAACAAAGAAAGAAACUCUCAGUAUGAAACUAGAGCUAACUACUUCUAUCUCUACUUCUACUCUACUCUACACGAUGCUAUCUCUUGCUAAAAAUGAUAUGCUAGAUGAUCCUCAAAUGAAUGAGAUACAAGGGGUAUUUAUAGAUGUUUUUGAGAAGAUGUUCUCAUAAUAUUGACACAAAGUUGUUUUUCACUUCUACAACUCAACUUUAGCUGGUUCUAGCCAUUUUUCUUGCAGAUGAAUUGGUCAAAAGAUUGGUGUGAAUAAAAUGCAAGUUGCAGCUGUGAAUUAGGGAUCUGUGAGGUGGAUAAUACCUCGUAGAUCUGCCUCGCGAUUCUUCUUUGUGCUCAAUUUUGCACUUCCAACUUAAAACUCCACUUUGCUCUGUUUUUUGUCCAAUUUCAACCGCAUUUUUCUUGAUGAUGGAAGUCGAAUCAGCUCUUGUACAAAACAUAAAAGUUGUAGCUCUUUGAGUUAACUUUCCAAUGCUACAUCAAGAAUCAUCUCGUUUGGAUCUGUGUAGGCUGAUAAAUGACCAAAAUACCCCUGAUUGGUAAAUGCUCUAUUUCCGCUUUCAACAGAAAUUUUGUCGACUGUAUUUUGACUUUUUGACUAGAAAACUCAAUGAACUAGAUUUCAAUGUCUCAUACAAAAUAUAGAGCUAUGUCGUAGCUUUAAAAUGACUCAAGAACCAUCUCAAUCCGAUACUUGUAGUUCAAGAUGUAGCCAAAAUACCAAGAUGUGUCAAAGCUACGAAAGUCUUCUUGCCCUCAAUUAAUUCAUAUGAGACCAAAACCUACAAAAACAACAUAAACUUGCAUAUUAACCCACACUUUUGCAUGUUUUGGCUAAGAAACCCUACUAAUAUGAAAAGUAAUUUAUAAAGGAACUCAAUUCUUCAUUUUAACUUAAAACACACCAAAACCUUAACCUAAAACCUAACUAAAAAUGGGUAGCAUAAAGGCUCAUCACCUUCCUUUCCAAAGAAACCAACACACCACCAAAGGAAUUAUACAUCUAAUAUCAUUUACUGGAAUAUGAGCAAGAAACAAAUACCAUGCCAUCCACAGUCUCGAUAAGUCCUCAAAAGGUAGUGAAAGAAUGCCAAACAUAUUAGCAAAGUGACUCCAAACCUCUAUUGCAAUCGGACCAUUAACAAAAAGAUAUGUCAAUAUUUCCUUUUCUUCUAAACAACAUGAACAUCUAGACACCAAAGAUAAACCCAUUCUACAAAUUACUGAAUCCAAAGGAUUUAAAUUGCAUAAAUGCCUUUACGCAAAAAUAGAAAUUUUCAAAGGAAUAACAUUAUUCGACACCAUUUUAUUUAUCAAAGAACUACUCUUCCUUUGUCAAAUCAACUCCCAUGCAGAAUACAAAGAAAAAUUCCCCAUUGUCAAAGGAACCCAAAGGAUCUAUCUCAUCCUUAACGUAAGGAUCCAAGGCUAUCAACAAAACAUGGGUAUCCACUUGAUCCGGUAACCUUUGCUUCAACUAUCAACAUUCAUCCUUCCUGCCCAUAGAACUCUGCUACCAAAAAAUGGGGUGUUUCCAUAUCCAUCGGGACUACCUGAAUCAAAGGAACAUCCUCAGAGCAAAUAUCCAACCAAAAGUCCACCACACCAGUCCCUAAACUCCAUCGAAUCUGAGCUUUUGCCAUCCCCCGAAUAUCCAACAACCUUUUCCAUGCACCCCUAUUAGUCUUUAUAUUUCAACCAAUAACCGUUGUUGAUCUCCAAUAUACUUUGAAAACAUAAAAUCUGACCAUAUAGAACACCAUUGACACAAACGCCACCAUAGCUUGCAAGUAAAGACUUUAAUCAUAACUCCCAAUAACUUAACCCCCAAACCAGCCUUAUCAGUAGGAAAACAAACACUCUCCUAAGCUGUUCAAUAUAUCCUUUUAGCCUCUUAUGUUUUAUCCCAAAGGAAAGAAUUAAAAUUCCUCCCCAAAACAAUAAGAACAGUCUUAGGAGGGUUAAGAACUUAUACAAGACACACCAGCAUUGAAUUCAAAAUAUGCCUUAGAAGAAUUAGUUUACCCCCCAUUGACAAUAACUUUGUACUCCAAUGAAAGACUCUCACAUGAAUCUUUGCAAGAAUUCCAUCAAACAGGAUUGAGGAAGGCCAUCCUCUAGUAAUCGACACACCAAGAUAAACAAAAGGAAAAAAUUGACAUUGAAAACCAAGCAUAGUCGACACCAAUCCAACUUGUUCCUCGGAUGCCAAUGAAGAAUACACAAAUCCACUCUUCAUCGUAAUAAUUCUUUGCCUGGAAUACUGUCGAUAUUGAUCAAAAAACUUUUUAAUGGCCUCUAAGUUUCCUUUCGACAAACGAGUAAAAUGAUGACAUCGUCUGCAAAAGCCAGUUAUGGAAUCUUCUCUCCUCUAUCCUGAAAAAAUUUAUGUUUCUCUUGUUGAAACAAAAAGUGCAAUCCCCUAUAAAAAAAUUCUAAAAUCAACACAAACAAUGUAGGUGAACUAGGAUCCCCUUGACGAACACCACGAGUAGAUUGGAAAAAACCUACCGGCUCCCCAUUAACUAGAACUGAAAACCAAUUAUUGAAGACUAGACAAAAAAUUAAGUCUACUGCAUUUUCUUGGAAGCCAAAUGCUCUCAACAUGAAGGUUAAAAAGGAUCACUCCAUCCUGUCAUGCGCUUUCUCCAUAUCUAAAAAACCUGUAUUCGCAUCUCCCACUUGUUCCCACUUGAUUCUUGAUUUUUGUUUCCAAUAAUUACAUUCAAUAGCUAAUUGGUUCAUAUACGUAGCCCCGGCUUCAUGAUACACUAUUUUAGAUGUCAUAUCCUUAUUUGUAUCAUACUCCUUCUCCUUGUCACGCAUAACCUCUUCCAACUCGUUCACCUUGAGAUCAAUAUGUCCAAAAACCUCUUUUUUCCACAUCUACAGCUCCUUCCAGACACAGAUUAAUUUUUUGAAAAAAUCUUGCAUAUUAUGCACCCAAAUAGAGUCUCUAUCUCCCUGACCCACACUUAAGUAAAAGUGGCACAUGGUCUAAUCUCCGCCUUGGAAAAUGAAUCACUUUUGACACAACAUACGCAUUGCUUCAAUCUUGAUUACUCAACACCCUAUUCAAUCGCUGCCAAACCAUCCCAUUUGUCCAGGUAUAUGUAAGCUCCUCAAAAUCCAUUGAGACUAAACCACAAUUAAACAUUGCCAAAUUAAAUUUCUCCAUGUUCCUAACAUACGAUGGUGACCCUCCUAAUCUUUUCGAGGUUUCAGAAAUGACCUUAAAGUCUCCAGCAAUCAUUCAGGGUCCUUGCCUUGACCCCGCCAAGCUCUCUGAAACACUCCAAAGUGGUCUCCUAGCAACUCUAGUACACCUAACAUAGACAAUCGAGAAAGCCAAUUGCAACCUAGAAAAACUCUAACUUCCAUAUCUACCAAUUGGUCCGCUAGUGCAUUUUAUGAAAUAUUUAGAGCAAGAUCCCAAAGAAUCCAAAUUUUCCCUUCAACAAAUGAAGAAGCUGACUGAAACUUUAAAAAAUGUUGAACAAAGCCUAAAAUUACAUCAUCUAACAUAGGUUCCAAUAACACAAGAAUUUUCACGUCAUAGUCAUGGACCAUCUUUUUUAAAUAUCUGAGUGAAUCGAUUCUAGAUGCACCCCGUAUAUUCCAAACAAAAAAAUUAAUUGGACUUAAUAUAAGAAUGAAGAUCAUAACGAGCUUGAGAUUCAACAUCUUGCAUGUGUUUCUUACUUGACUUUGGAGGCCUACCCGGUUUCUUCUUCACUUUCUUUUGUAUCCAAUUGAUUGAUAAGCUGCAUAUCUACUUCAUCAAUCACAGGAGAAAAACAAACUCCUUAUCAAUUCGACCAGAUUGCUCUAUUCUUCUUGACAAUUGAUCUUUCACCUUAUGUAAAUCCUGAUACAACAAACGUUGAUCUCCAUCACCUCGCGACGGACUAAGCGAAACAGCCCUUCAUCGAAUCCUAGACUUUCGCAAAACAUCAUUCUCUCCAAUCCCUGCAAGAAUACCAAAAGAAUUAAAGAACUGUAUCUGCCAUUUCUCCCCUUCCUAUUCUGACACCACAAUCAAAUCCGUGCAACCAUGUUCGACCAUCCCACCAUUUGAACUCGGCUUCAACCCCACUCCACUAACAUCAGCCUCCGAAUCUCUAUUCGUGAAUAUCCCCUCCACUAAAUUCACCUCUGAAACCAACUUAGCAGAAACAACAUCCUUCGAAACUGCUUUUACACCUUGAACCUCUGCUGAAGCACUUACAACUCAUAUCAAAAGAUGUUAACAAAGGUACAUUAGCUCUUCAAAAUUCACCAUUUUGAGAAUUUUUGUUCAACAUAAUGAUAUGCCUAGAAUCAUUGUGAUGAGAUUGAUCAACACUAACUUUAGAAUCCCAAAUUACAAUGCUAGGAUUUCUUGCUCAUGACGUAACCCUAGCAUUGUUACCCUCCUCUGCCACCUUAGCCUUUCCUUUGUCAACUUGGGUUUUUGGAACAUAUACCCUAGCUUGUUUUCCCCCCAUACAAGCUUGUUCAAGUGGCUGCAUCUGCUUUUGAGGUUUUAAAGAUGGGUUCUUCUUAAAGCAAUCGUUUUCCUCAUGUCCAAACCUUUUGCAAAUAGAACAAAAAGUUGGCCAAUUCUUGAAUUCUAUUUUCUGCCAAAAGCCAUACCUAUAGUCUCCAAUCCAAAUCCUUUUCACCGGAGGCUGUCUUACAUCAACCUCAAUUAACAAUCUUGCAACUAAAGGACAUCUAAGGUCUUCUAUAGCCGCAUCAAUUUUAAGUAACCUCCCCAGUGUAGAACAAAGCUUAUUCAACUGAUUUUUACAAAAAGAAAAAAAGAAAAAAAAGGGUAUAUGCAGUUCCUAGAAAACCACCUAAAUAGGCGCAAUUCAUAUUUCCUUGUUGGCCUUAAAAUCCAGGGACCACUAUGAAACCGUCAUAGGCCAGUUUUGGACAAACCACAUUCUUCUCACAAAUAAUCUUGUAUAAUCCUCUUCUAGAGUAUGACGAAUCAAGUCAUGGUUAGCAUCUAAUAAUCCAACAGAGCACUUACCCUUAAGUCCCAGUGAUAGAAAAAACUUCCUAAUAAUAUCCAUAAGAGCCCUACUAAAUGCAAAUCUACCAACCAAUGCAUUGUGAAAAGGUUGUACUAAUUGCAUCAUCUCUAGCUUAGACGUUCGAAGAGCAAGUUCUCCUCUAUGCGUAGAUAUUAUACCAGGGUCGAACGAAUCCACAGAGUUGCUAUUCGAAAACAAAACUGCAGUAAAGCUCCUUGUUGGUGGCGACAGAUCACCAUCCGUAGGUAGCCCCGGUAGCUGAAAGCCGCCAUGACAGAAAGACAACCCUAGAGCCAGAAACCCUAGAGAGCAAGAGAGAGAGAGAGAGGAGAAGUUGCAAUUCAAAGAAAGGAAAGUUGAAUUUGCUUUGUUUCACGAGCCACAAGAGUUGAUAAUCGGAGGUACUGUAAAUAACACCGCAUUGUUAGCCAUGUCCUUAAUCUUGAAGUCGGCAAAAGAGGGAAAAUUUGUCGUCAACAUAGAUGAUGUAGUCAGCUUAAAACUCACAAUUAUCAUGUUGCCAUGAAAAGAAAUUAACAAUCCUUCAUUGUCUCAAAGGACAAAUUGUGCUUCCAACUGCAUGCGAGACUCCAAAUUGCAUGUCUCCAAGUUUGGAAAAUCAUACUAGCAUUCCCAAUUUUCAAAGGCAUAUGGCAAAAGGUAUUAUAAGUUUGAAGUUGAUCGUCCGAAAGUGAUGAGUUUGAGGAGAAGUGGUUGUCAAAACAUAGAGGCAAGCCCACUCAAAGCUGUGAAUGAAAAAUAAACUUCUCUAAAAUUCAAGUGGCCCGUAGUUUUCCGACUUCUCUAAAAUUCAAGUGGCGUGUAGUUUUUCGUACUCAUCCCAUCAAAGACGAAGUCAAGAUUGCAUUUUAUCAAUCUAAAAUUAGCAACCAAGAUUUUCGUGAAGAUUGUUCCAACAAAUUGAACCAUUUGAAGCAAAUUCAUUGACAAAAGUGAUUACUCAACACCGUACUCCUGGCCUACACAAGUAAUUUAGCGUCAACCUAACUCUCAUUAGGGCUACCUUUUUCUUAGUUUACAAGCCACAUAAUAUAGAAAAUUAUGUUAAUUAGAAAAGAUCCACAUGUUUAAAUAUUACAAACUUUUAUCUAUAAGUUGUCAAAUAUAAAUUAGUCCAUAAAAAGUUUGCAUCUCAAAUUAAUACAUUCCAAAAAUUAAGCAUAAUGAAAUGAUAUCCAAUAGUAACAUCAAUUGAGGUUUAACUUCUAACUCUUGCCAAAACUAUACUCUUCUUCAUCGGAAAAGACAUUAUCAUAAAAUCUUGUGAGUUAAAGUUUAAUGAGAUCCCGUGCAUGUGAAUGCAAUAUCCAUAUGUGUGUGUGUAUAUAUAUAUUGUUGUUUUGAAAAGAACUUUUUCUUUUACAAGGUCUAUUUCUUGUCAAAACAUGACGCAAAAGCAUAAAAAUGGCAAUACUCAAAUGACAUUGUAGUAAAGUAACACUUUAAUUUGGUGACAUCAUUAUCAUCACGAAUAGGAAGUAUUGCAAUUUGGAGUUUUGGAGUAACAUCAAUUCUUAACCAUUUUGAAUACCUCGAAGAUACGUGCAUGCGACUUAUAACUAUCUCAAUGCUCUAAAGCCAAUUAAUGCCCAAUAGAUAUGGAUAUUAUCACCACUAGUUUCACUUCACAUAAAGGUCAAAUAUCCUAACCCUAUUGAAAGAGUGAUACGUUCCUCGAUCAACACGUUUCGAGACACGUAGCACGUUUGCCCAAGGAUCUAGCGAGGACGUCCAACGCUUGGAGUUGCGGGAUCUAGAACCAAACGGACGACACGAUUUGAUCCAAGACGGUAGACGACACUCCGAUGAAGGUGAAUACUCCAGGGGAAUAGGUCGGUAGAACAAUCUAGGACAGGACGCAAGACUGCUCAAAACCCUUGCCAAAGCAAGUAAAGGGGUCGAAUCUCUCUCUCAAGAAGAAUCGAAAAUAUGCAAAACUUUAUUGAUAAAACGUCUACCUAAAACCUUACAAAGCAAGCCUAUUUAUAGGCUAAAGUGACUGAAACCCUAAAGGGACUAGGAAAGGGAAAAGUCGGCCCAUGGUCUUGGGACAAGAUGGGCCGGCCCAUGCUCUUACUUAAACACUAAUCAAUUGCUAAAUAACUGCUAAGGCCUAAGGCCCUAUUCGGCCAACUCAUUUGGAGGCCCACUUGACUCUUCAUGGGCUUGGGUCAUGGUGUAGAUAACCCGAUUAAAAUCCUUCAAGCCUUCGAGGUCUCUAUGAGAGUCUUGAGUUAAAGCCGCUAUCCAUCUCGCCAUCCGUGCACACAUCAGUCCCCUCCUCUUAAGAAGGAUUUGUCCUCAAAUCUGGAUGGAGAUGAAUGAUACUAACAAGAGUUGCCAGUAUGACGCCUCAAAUCUCCACAUAUUGGCCCUCUUGGAUUUAUAGGCUAAAGUGACUGAAAUCCUAAAGGGACUAGGAAAGGGAAAAGUCGGCCCAUGGUCUUGGGACAAGAUGGGCCGGCCCAUGCUCUUACUUAAACACUAAUCAAUUGCUAAAUAACUGCUAAGGCCUAAGGCCCUAUUCGGCCAACUCAUUUGGAGGCCCACUUGACUCUUCAUGGGCUUGGGUCAUGGUGUAGAUAACCCGAUUAAAAUCCUUCAAGCCUUCGAGGUCUCUAUGAGAGUCUUGAGUUAAAGCCGCUAUCCAUCUCGCCAUCCGUGCACACAUCAGUCCCCUCCUCUUAAGAAGGAUUUGUCCUCAAAUCUGGAUGGAGAUGAAUGAUACUAACAAGAGUUGCCAGUAUGAUGCCUCAAAUCUCCACAUAUUGGCCCUCUUGGAUUGAAUAACACUUGUACAUGUUAUGAUUAAUAUAAUUCGGUGCACAUGUCUCUUAGUCAGCUUCAAGGGCCUCUCGAACAAGGACAUUCGCCAAGGUAAGAAGGAACGUGUGUAAGGCUUGUGAACGUUCCAGGUUGCAACACAAAGCUCUCCAAUUUGUCUUCGAGUAUGGGCAUUCAUGUGCACUUGAUAACGAUGUUUGUUGGGACUAAAAAAGCCCCGAAUCUGGUUGUGCAAGAUGGUACAGUUCGACCCUAGGCAUUGCUGAAUCGACUCAACUUUCCAAGCUGGAGGUAGGACACUGAACCACCCGUGUUGUACACCCAUAUAAACAUGACCCAGGGAGGUAGGGGUAGCAUUCGGAUUGUGAUUGACACACUUGUGUGCAUCACCCAACAUAAGCGGUAGUAAUGAAGUGACACGCACUCCAUACGAAUCACAUGCGUUCGCGCCACAUGCAUCUGGAACAAGUACGAAAUUAGGUUGCAACUCCGUAGUCAUAGUUGGGGAAUUUUGGCCAACUUUACAACCUACAAACACAAAAUAACCUUCAACUUGAAACAAUUCAGAAAUUGGAUGAAGAAAUAAUGGAACAUUAUUAACUAAAUAGUAAGAAGGUUUAGAGCAAGAUUUAAAUGUGAGAACUCCCUUUGACACUUCAAUAUUUCUUCCACCAAUUGAUUCAACUUGAGAGUCCAGUGCUAGUCCUUCCUCAUCAAGAUCUACGUAAGAGCAACAAGAGUUAGUGCUAGUAACAUGCUCAAAAUAAGGCAAAGGUGAUGAAUGAACCAUAGGUAAAGGACAAGAAGUAGAAUCUGGAAUUUCCCUUUUAAGAUGAGCUUGAAUGAAUCCUCCAAUGGCGCGGACAGAUUUGAUUGGACAUUGUUCCAUGAAUUGAUACCAAAGAGAUUUAGUUCCUAAAAGACAAACUCCAUGGAAACUCACAAAGUGUCCAAGUGACUUCGGGAUGGAACAUGUCAUGACCAACUCUACUUGACUUUGUUUAACCUGCACAAACGAGGAUAUACUAAACAAAACACAUGUUAUCCGGUUAGCAAACAAAGUGUUCACACGUUCAAUGUUUGCAGACAUGGUCAACUCUUUUUCUUGACGCUUCACUAAGGCCAAAUUGUUCUUGCUUAUCCCCACUCCCUUCUUCUCGGACCAUUGAUCCUUCAUUGCACUUGAGUUUUGUUUUUCAUUGGGGAGCUCUUGUUCACGGCUCGACAGCAACUCAUUCGUACGUGGCUCUUCAAUCAACGAGGGACUAGACUGAAUUUUUCCUUUGUUACCACCGAUUGGCACAUGGUUAAGUUGCUCCAAGUGUGAAUCCAGCACUUGGCUAAGUCUUUCCAUCAUGUCAUCAAUCAAUGCUUUAGUCCGACUUCGGAAUUUAUCCUUUGAUUCACGAAGCUUUGACUCAAUUCGUGAAUUCUCAAACUCCUCGUCUUGAUUGUCACGACACUUCUUAGAUGAACCUCGUUUGCUUGAAGGUGACCUUGAUUUAGAUGCUCUACACAAACUGCGGUGCUCCUUCUCAUACUCAUCACAAUCUUGUUUAUACCUUUCAUAUACACACAAAGCACGGUGGCGUUGCAUCUCCUCCCGGAGUGAAUGAUACCCACGUUGUGAACUGGAUAGCAUGGAACUAGAGUACUUGAGAGUAGUCUGCUUGGAACCCCUCCUCUUGAGAGGCUCAUUCUCCAAGAAUUCUUGGUUGUAUGAGUAAGAGGCAACUCCCCUAGGCAUGAUUAUGUGACCUGCAAAAAUGGUUAACAAAGAAAAGGAUUCUCAUAGUUUGGAUUAAAGUAUCACUUUUAGAUUUUUCCGUGAAACUAACGCUCAACUGUAAAAGUCAAAAUCAAACUAAUAACUUAAUAAAUUUACCCUUUCAUUACUUCUUUUUCUCCUCCAAACAUAAAAAGAAGAAAUUGAAAUUAAAAAUAGACAAAUAAGAAAUAGAAAAUGACAAAUAAGAAAUAGAAAAUACCAUUAAAGAUUUGGUUUAAAAACCUAUAAUGAUAUUUGUAGCCAACAAAGUUUUGGUAUUUUUUGUAUCUUAUUUAUUUGUUUUAUAUUUCCCUUCCAUCUUUUUUGUUUGUUGUUUAUUUAUUUUUUAUUUCACUUCCAUCUCUAUUGUAUUUGAAGAAAUUGUAGGCUAAAGUAUAGACUUUCAAAAUCUUCUUUUCUCUUCCAAAAAAAAAAAGAGAAAGAAAGAAAGGAAAAAAGAAAAAGAAAAAAAAGUAAUGAAAGAGUGAAUUUAUGAAUUUAUUAUUUUGACUUUUACUUUUUACUAUUGACCAUUAGUUUUAACAAAAACUAAUGAUACAAUGUAAUUUAAACUAUAUGAGGGUUAUAUAUAGACUUUUAAACCAUAGGGAAGUCAUGUGGUAAAGUACCAAAUUACAGAAGAGUAAAAGGUAAUUUACACUUCUCUUUCCUGGAUUGAUAACAUACCUAUCAAUCGGGCCAUUUGUGUGGGAUUUUAGCAAGGCCAAACUCAGCUCAUAUAGUUAGUAUCACUUUUGAACUUUGGGUUAUGAAUUUCGGGUUGAUAAAUGUGAAACUUGUAUUUGACUCACAAAAUAUUUGGACUAUGAGUCUAAUUCAGGUUUAGCCCAAACUCACUUAUUGCUCCAUAAUUUCCUUAAUAUAAUGAAUUAAUUUUCUAUAUACUGAUAGUGUAUACACUGUUAUUUUUUGAUGAAUGACAACUAUGCAAAUUUUGAAUUUGAAAUUCAACUUUUGCACAUAUAUCAUGAAUCUAAUAGUGAUAGUAUAUACGUUGAUAGUUUAUAUAAGAUUUACUCUAAUAUAAUUACUAUAACUAUUAAGUCUAAAGCUAUUAACAUCUAUAGGAUCACAAAAUUAAAACUAUACAUGAACGAAUAACAAUUCAUUAAAAAGUAUAUAAACUAAGGAUUUUCCAACAAUAAUAUAUCCAAUUAGUUCAAAAUAAAUGAAAAAUAGUAAUAAAACAUGAUCAACAAUCAAUAUAUCUUCAAAGGUCCUCAAUUUGCUCAUAUUAAAAUUUAUCCUUCUAAAUCUUUUGACAUAGUUUUGUAAUUUAAUAUUUCUUACAUAUAUAUUAAUAAUAUUUGACACAUGAAUUAUAAGUAUAAAGGAUAAAGUAUAAAGGAAAAAGAUCGAAAACAAAGGAGGAAGAGGUGUUGUCCGAUGCCAAGAAGAAGGGGAAAGGUGGGCAGAGACAAGGGAAAAGGGAGACAGGAGUGUUGAAGGCAAGGGAGGAAGGGGGAGGCUCGAUGGUGAGAGUGGGGGAAAGGGAGAAAUGGAAGUAUAUUAACAAAAUAUUUUUAUAUUUUAUUUAUUCAUAGUUGGAAAUGAGUUGAGGGUUUUGACUGAUUCCUCUGAAUUUAGUCAGGAAUCAUGAAUCCCCAAACUUUUGGACAUGAUUCCAAUAUUUCAAUUACCAUUAGAGUAUACCAAGCACUAAGUAUUGGAAUCAUCAUCAUUCCCCAUACCAAAACCCUCAAACCCCUCAUUUGUGAUAAAAGGAAAGAAACAUUUCAUAUUUAUGUGAUAUAAUAUUGUUUUAUGGGAAAAUCGUUCAAAACAUCCUUCAUAUUUUUCCUUACAAAUUAACAUUAGUCAAAUUUGAUCCCUGCCUAGGUUUCGGACUAGUUUUUAGCCGAAAUCCACCAUGUGCCUUGCACGUGAUUAUUUUUUAAGGGCAAAAUUAUCAAAUCAAAAUUUAUAUAAUCCGAUCCAUAGUCACUCACAUUUUACAAUAUAAAUUUUUUCAUCCUUCACAAUUCACAAAUUGAAUUUUUUCACCUCUUACAUUUUACAAAAUAAAUUUUUUCAUCCCUAAUUGAUCAUGUGUAUGAAUAGUUUUUUUUAAAAAAAAUUAUUUAUAUAUCUAUUUGAUUUCACCUGAACAGUAUGAAUAAUAUGUAAUAUAUCUCUAUUUGAUUUCGCCUGAUAUAUAUAUGAGUUUAAAAAAAUUUUUUAGUUUUUCACUCAUGUUCAUUUCCUUUUACUCAAAAAUUGAAAACAAAGAAAACAUUUAAUCCUAAACAUUAUCGAGUGUUUAUAUCGAAUUAAAUUUGGACAAAAAAAUAACAAAAGAAAAGUAUGACAAAAAGAACUAAGUGCUUAGCACUUUCAAAUUUUAAAACAACCAUAAAGCAAGUAAUUCAACUACUGGUCUUAAAGGUGGCAAGUAGAAGUUUUAGAUUUAAACUACCAUUUGUUAACAUGACUAUAGAAUUCGAAUUAGAACCCAUUAAUUAGAUGGCCUUAUUAUACAACUCCAUAAAUGAAUUAUUACCAAAAGAGAAAAGGCAACAAAUAUUGAAUAGAUUCACAUAGUGAAAUCAAAUAGAUAUAUACAUGGGUUUAAAACAAAAUUGUUAGUUUUAAACCCAUUAUAUAUCUAUUGAAUAAUAUGUGUACAACUACAAUUAGCAUAUUUAAAUAGAAUCAAAUAAAGAUAUAUUACAUAUUAUUCAUACUGUUCGGGUAAAAUCAAACAGAUAUAUACAUGAGUUUUAAAAAAACUAUUUGUACACACGGUCAAUGAAGGAUGAAAAAAUUCAUUCUAUGAAAUGUGAGGGAUGAAAAAAUUUAUUUUGUCAAAUAUGAAGAACGAAACAAUUCAUUUUGUGAAAUGUGAAGGACUAUGAAUCAAAUUAUGUAAAUUUUGAUUUGACAAUUUUACCUCUAAAAAAUGAUCACAUGCUAGAUACAUGAUGGAUUCGGCAAAAAACUAGUUGAAAAUUUAGGUAAGAAUCAAAUUUGAUCAAUGUGAAUUUGUAAGGGAUAUAAAAUUACACUUUUAAAAAUAAGAGACCAAAAAAGUCAUUUUACAAAAUAUAAGGGUACGACAUUUCCUUGUUUUAUUAGAUCCACUUCAACCUGUUAUAGUUGUUGGAGUAAACGUUGUUUUGGGGAAAUAUUCAAUUUUUAUAUUAUACACAAUAAAAGAAGGUAUAAAUGCUUUUAAGAACCACGUGCACAAUUCGAAAUGCUUGAAUUGAUAUACCACGACAAAGUAUGCCUGACGUGCGUGGGGUAUACAUAUAAUAUUAAGCUCAUCCCAAUCAAGUUUUACAUUUAUAAAUUCCUAAAUACCCCACACGCGAUUUAUCGCAAGUAUACGAAUCGUGAGCGAGUAUAGGGUAUUAAGGGUCGAUCCCACAGGGAAGAUUGCAAUUACCGGUGAUUUUCGAACUCCUUUAUUAUUUAGACUACCACAAAUAUAAAAAUAACGAAAAUUAACACUAGAAAACUCCUAGAGAUAUGGAAUUCCUUACUACUCUUGCAAAUGAGAUUACCGGUUAAGUGAAUGCUAUUAUCUUGACUAGAUAUGGCGUAAUUUCCUAAUGUAUGUGAAACCAACUUUCGUAGUGAAUCAACUAUACUUGUAAUUAAGCCAUACCUACUCUCGUGGUUAUGAAAUUAACUAUAAGUUCAUUUCUUCUAUGAAAUUACAUGAAACAAGUCACUUAAGCCACAUAGGUGCACCUCUACUUUCGUGAGUGUACUCCCUAGGCUUAUCACUUCUUUGAACUAGUGUUAAAUUCCAAUCUUCAUUGCAAACUUAACACCUUAUGAUUAUCAUAAUUAAUGGCCAGUUAAUCAUGAUUAGAUAACCAAAAGUGAUAAAUAAUGUACUCAAAAUAAUAUCAUCAAAUAGCCAAGUAAACCUCACAAACAAAAUAUAGCAAGUUCAACCAUAACUCUAGGCAUAAAUUUUAACUAAACAUAAUAAAAACACAAAGCCAACUUGUAUUAUAAUUAAACAUGAAAUCCAAUACAAGAGAGAAAGUAGUAGAAGAGAUAUCACCCUUGUCACAUGAGAUCAACCUCUUCAUCUUUGCCCCUCCAAUCUUCAUCCAAAUCUAACUACAAAUACAAGAUGGAUAAACUACUCUACCUAUACUAUACUAAUGAACCAAGGAAACUCUAGUGAAAACUACAUUUCUGGUGAGUUUCUCUAGCCUUCUCCCAAGUUAUUUUGAAUCCUGUAAGUCCAUGGCUAUAUAUAGAUGAAUGCCAUCAGGAAAUGAGGCUUGAAACAUCCCUUUUACAGCUGCUAAUUGGUUGUCAUACGUUCAUCCAUAGCUGUAAAUUGUUGAAGGAGAAAACAGGUUGUACCAGCAGCUAUUUUUGACCAGAAUCUGGCUACUUCAACUGCUAUUUUCUCUAUGAUGACGGCUGAAUUAGCUCUUGUACAAAACAUAGAAGUUGUAGUCCAUUGAAAUAGCUGUCCAAUGCCUCAAGAAUCAUCCAAUUUGGAGCUGUUUAGACCGAGAUAUGAUAAAAAUACCACUGACUAGUCAAUUCCGCGUUUUCAACUCUCAGCAGCAGACUUUUACUUCUGUAUUUUGACAUUUUGACCAGGAAAACAGCCGAAUUGGACUUUGAUGUCUUCAUACCAAAUGUAGAUCUGUCUCUUAGCUUCGAAAAUGGUUCAAGAAGCAUCUCAAUCCAAUGUAUGUAGCCCAAGAUAUAGCCAAAAUACCAACAGAUGCCAAAGCUGACUUUUCUUGAUUCAAAUUGCAUUUUUCCUUUUACACUUCAUAUUUUAUUUUCACCACUUUAAUCCAUCUUCAAUCAUCCAAAUAUCUUCUCAAUGCACUUCAUUUGAUGAUUGAAUCAUUAAACCUACAAAAUAUGAAGUUUUUACCAUAAAAAUCAAUAGAAAUGCAAUUUUCACACUUUAACCACAAAAUGCAUAUUUUUACUAGAAUCUUAGUUAAUUAUUUAUAAAACUAAAUAAAACACACCAAAACUAAUUAAUAAAGCACACUAAAAAUACGUAAAAUAUACUCUUAUCAAUGCCUAUACCAAUUCUUUCUUAGAUAUGAUAUUUAGAGAAAAAUGUAGUUUUAGUACCAAAAUUUUGGACCAAAAUAGUUGAUAGACAUGUGAUUAUUGUGUGAUUCUUUUCUGAUAGUAAUUUGGGAAAAGUCCAUCAAGAGUGCUAAAUGUGCUCAAAAUUUAUAAGAUUAGAUACUAGAUUUGUUUUCGUUCAAAAUUUAGGGAUUAAAACUACUGAUGUGUCAAAGUAUAGGUAUUAAAAUUGCAUUUUAAAUUAUAUUUAGCUCGUUGACAUUUGGAGAAUUGGUGGAAUUUAUUCAUUAUAUGCUUCGCUUUCUUCAAAAAUUGAUUUAUCAAUUAAUAUUUUUUAUCACAUUGUUGUCAGGCUGUAACGCUAUGGACUAUGGAGGCGUUUGGUUCAAGUUCCAAAGUCAGAAUCAGAAUCAAAAUUAUAGACCUAACAUGAGCAAGGGUUUUGGUCAAACUCAGUUAUUUGUUUGGUUCUGGACUGAGAGGGGUUUUAUUCUCUUAAAAAGCUAACAUUAAUUGAAAUUUAAGUUAUAAGUCAGAAAUGAAAGUGGGUAAUAUCUAACGCUAUCAUUCUAUUCAAUAAUUCCCAUGAAAGUCUUCCAAAUAACAAAUAUAGGUAUCGUUCAUUUUGAUAUCUAAUUUUACCUCUCUCAUACCCAUUUUAACAAAUACACGCUAUGCCCAUGUCAUUCACUUUAAACGAACCUCUGCUAGUCAUCUGGGGACCUUUGGGUCUCUGAAAAAUGCCACUAUGACUUUUCAGCGUCUACUAUGCUUUCAAUUACCUUGACUACAGGAAAUAACUUCCCUUAGUAGCUAGGUGCCAAAACAUCAUCAAGUGCAACUCGGACUUGCCUGCUUUCAAUUCUUGCGAGGUUUCUCCAGAAAUAUCUUCCUUCACAAAUGUUUGUAAGUUCUUUUUCAUUUACCGUGUAAAUCAAGGAAAUGAAAUGAUAAUUUCCUUGAUUUACACGGCAAAUGAAAAAGAACUCCAGAAAUCAUUUCCUUCAUUUACACGGCAAAGUUCUUUUUCAUUUGCCGUGUAAAUCAAGGAAAUGAUUUGUACAUUUGUGAAGGAAGAUAUUUCUGGAGAAACCACGCAAGAAUUGAAAAUCAGGCAAUUUCUUCGAAGAAGUGCUUAUUUAUGUUGCUUACCUGCUUGUGAACACAUAUAUUUGGCAUACCUGUUAUUAUUUAUUAUUUUUGGGAAUUAAGCACAAAAUGAAAAAUUAACAAUAAAAAAGAAAAGGAACAGUGUUCAUAACCAUGAAAAAGGAAAAAAACCACAUCCAGGACGAAGCAGAAUCUUUUGCUUGUGUUACAUUGAAGGGCCAUUUAUUUAGGAGACUAAUAAAUCGUUGCAUAAAAGCUAGAAUAAUUUAAACAGAUGUUUGAACAUUAAUUGAAUUUAUUGAGGCACAGAAUAUUGCACAAAGAUGCAUUUUUACAAUAUCAAAAAAAAUUAAGAUACAUUAGUAGUUCACCAUUCCUUAAGGACAUUUAUCAAGAAAAUUGAAAUUUGCUCUUGGACACUUUCUUUUUGAAUGCAAAACCAGAGGUGGAAUGCUUUGCUCGUAGUAGAAAAAAUUCUUUGGAUCAACUUCACCUUUGAUCACAGCCAACCUC